CCGCUACUGCUCUCGCCAAUAGAGUCUUUCCAGUACCAGGAGGUCCAACCAAUAAACAACCUUUCGGGAUUUUAGCUCCUAAAGCUGUGUACUUGUCUGGGUUCUUCAAGAAAUCGACAACCUCUUGGAGUUCUAAUUUUGCCUGGUCAGCUCCCGCUACGUCGGAGAAGGUAACACCAGUCUCUGGCACUUCCUGGAACUUGGAUUUGGAUCGUCCAAAAUCCAUGGGUCCGCCAAGCCCACCGGGGCCACCUGGACCACCUUGAGCCCGACGGAAGAGGAAGAACAAUCCAGCGAAAGCAAGGAAAGGGAAAAGCAAAUUCCCAAUAAAAUUGAAAAGCCCAUUACCGGAAUCACCCUCGGAUACCGAAAUAUCGACGCCAUUCAUGGCUAAGAUGUCGAUGAGGUCAGGGUCAUUGGGGACAAUCACGGUGGCUCUACGGCCAUCAACGGCGGUGAGUUGGAGGGCAGAACCGUCUUUGCUGAACCUGACUCUCUCCACUUUCCCCUUCUUGACUGCGUUCAAGAAUUCGCUGUACCUCCAUUGGCUGCCCUCCGGAAGAUCGGAGGAUUGAGAUUGAGGCUUGGGAGCAGUUAAGAGGAGGUUUUGGGAGAAGGGCGACUGGUUCGAUGGGCUUGGCUUCGUAGGCUGGGCUUCAAUUACAGGUGGCGGAGUGGGUGGGGCGUUGUCAACGGCUAGUGCUUGUGGGGCUACGGCAGAGAAGAGUAAGGCAGCAAGAGUGGCAUGAGAUUGGAGGGUUUUAACAGUGUGGCUAGAGUUGGGUUUCUUGUUGAGGAUAGAUUGAGUAACCUGCAACUUUCUUGUAGUUUUUGGUGUUGGAGGAGACAGUAAAAGUUGAGUACCAAAGAAGUUAGAAGAGAGCAGAGAGUUGGCCAUUGAUGGCGGUAAAUGAGAGGGGAGACAAUCAGAUCCUCUUACUAUGGGAUGGUAUGGGUAUUAAUAGGUUGAUUGUUGAGUUGGUGUGUGAAAUGAAGAAUUCAAAUGGUGUGGCUAAGUUGAAGUUAGUGAUUUGGGAGGCGUAAGAGAGUUGAAUUUAAGCAACGCCAAGGAGUUUGAUGUCGCUGGGCUUGCGUCUACGUGUUCCUCCUUUUGUCCAUCCGUUUUAAAUAUCUUCUUCCUCACCUCUUCUAUCUCUCACAUAAAAUUCAAUGCCUUUUUUUUGUCUUUACAUACCUUGUAAUUUAUUUUCUAAUUUCUUUGAGGAAAUUGUUGGGACUUCCAGUUGAUAUACCAUUUGCCUAAUUGCACACCUACCAACUUACAUCAUUAUAUUUAAGUUAAUGAUUUGGGUUUUUCUUCUCUAUUUAAAUGCCUCAAGGUUCAUGAAUGUUAAACCAUAAUUCUACCGGUCGCCUCAUGUCUUGCAGCCAUGGAGCACUCGCGUUAUAUCCAUAAUUGAGUAAGCUGUAGAGCUGCCCCGGAACUCACGACAUGACAGCCAAUGCAAGCUUGGAAUUAUAGAGCUUAACACUUAUCCCUUUCUCCUUUAUAUAUAUGUAUAUAUAUAAGAUCAAUUUGGGUUGUUUACAAAGCACAGAAAAGAAACACAUAAAUGGCUGCCUCAACUGGUCAUGUUCGUUCAAGCAGUUUGCCAAUCAAUACUCAUCCACUAGUUGUAAGUGUUGAGGAGCAGUUAACCAGAUUGAGGGCAUCACAACAAGAAACAUCCUCGUCCAUGAGCAACAGAUUGGGAGGUUUAAAAGAAUUGUACCACCGAGUUGAUGAUUUGUUUCAAUUACAGUUUCCCAGAGCUCUUUGUAUUGAACAUUUAGAGGAUGUGUUGGAUGGAUCUAUUAGAGUAUUGGACGUGUGUGGCACCAUUAGAGAUGUUUUGUCUCGGAUGAGGGAGGGUUUGCAGGGACUUGAAUCCUCCCUCAGGCGAAGAGCUGGCCGUGAAUCCUGCUUGGAAGGUGAAAUCAGAGCUUAUAUGGACACCAGGAAAGAAAUGAAUAAAAUGAUCAGAAAUUUGAAGGGAAUGGACCGGAAAUGUAAAUCAGUGGUGUUGGACAAUGAUUCUGAAAUGGUGGGUGUGGUGAACAUGCUAAGAGAAGCUGAGGAAAUUAGCCUUUCAAUGUUUGAUUCCCUCUUAUCUUUUCUUUUGCUUCCAAAGCUAAGAUCAAAGCCUACCGGCUGGCCUAUUGUUUCAAAAUUAUUGCACUCGAGGCGUGCUUUGUGCGACCGAAUGGAAGCUACUGAAGCCGAGAAACUAGAAGUCGAGUUGAGUCUCUUGAAGUCAAGCAAAGACAUCAAACUUGAACAAGUGCAAAAAUUAUUGAAAGAUCUUGAGGCAUUUCAAGCUACCAUCAAAGAAACAGAAGGGGAUUUGGAGUGCAUCUUUAGACAACUAUUGAAAACCAGAGUUUCCCUUCUCAACAUAUUAAACCACUAAUGACCAACAAAAUUUUGUAGCAUAUGAUUUUGAUCUCAACUGUACACAUAUACAGCAUAAGAAAAGCAAUAUAUUGGAAAUUUUUCAUCUCCAAUUGCCUCUCUUUUUCUGAUUUUUUCUUAUUAUUAAUAUUCCCAUACAAGGGCUAAAAAUCCCAGCCACGCUUGAAAUGACCAUGGGUUUUAUGGAUUGGUGAGAAACCGAGUCAAUGACCUCUCAGCUAAUGGUAUGUGAUUAUUCAUCAAAACCAUGCGCAUGUACUUCAACUCUAUAACGAGCUGUAAAGAUUCCAUUGCGGCACCACAUCGUUUAAUUGUUACAUGGAGAUCUGCGCAAUCUUCAUGAUUAUUAGAUUACAAUGUUGAUUGUCUACUGCCAGGAAGCCAUGAUAGCUUGCCACUCGUGCAUUUCAUUAUUUUAUUCCUUAACCAAUUCAUUUUAUGGUGUCGCUCUUAUUAAUAUCCAAACGUACUGUAGUGUAAUUUCAGCAACUGUCAACUCAGCUGACUGCUCUUCAACAUGACCAAUAUACGACUCUGUGUUUUCUUAUUAGACAUUUAGGUGGCAGAGCCUGGCUUUUUGGAAUUGAUCUCAUAAUAAAAUAUUACGCCCCAUUGGAGGAUGGUCAUGAUCCCUUGAACAUCCUAAAGAGCCAUCUUCCAGUAUUCAUUUCUAUCAGAUUGUCUUUCACAUAAUUGACCCUAUGCCAGAACCAACAUCCUGACUAUAAAGAAUUGCUCUAAUGGCUGUCAUGGGAACUAAAGAAAAAAAGAUUCCACUUGUUGGAAGAUGCUAACCAAUGACCGUAAUUGGCGCAGUCCUGUCAUGGAACAAGGUUUUUACGAACUAGCAAUAUUAUAGUGUGGGCUGUGGCUUCUACAUCUUAAUGUCUGGGGGGACAAAGUAGCUAAUAUCCUAAUAUGCUACACUGAUGAAAGAGAUGCCUUCACCUUAUAUAAAAGCUGCCUCAUUGGAAUGACUUGAUCAUCUAACCUUGAAUUGUGUGCAUCUCAAGAAAAACAGAGAAAAAAAUAGAAGCUCCUAUUACAACAAUGAAAGCUAAAUCCCAUGCUCGUUCCAACAGCUUGCCAUCCGAAUCUCACCCUGUUGUAGCCGAUCUUGAGGACAAAUUGCGCCUGUUAAGAGCCUUGGAAGCAACAUCAUCUUCUGUAUCAAGUCUAUGUAAGAACUUGGCUGCUCUAGAGGAGAUGUAUGAAUGUGCUGAUAACCUACUUCAGUUGCAAGCCACCCAGAAGGCUUUCUCAAAUGAAAGACUACAUGAUAAAUUCGUAGAUGAUAUGUUGGAUGGAUCUCUUAAGUUAUUGGACACAUGUAGUUCAUCCAAGGAUGCUCUUUCUCAGAUCAAAGGUUGCGUUCGAGAUCUUGAAUCGUCCCUCCGCAGGAAGAUUCGUUGCAAAUCAAGCCUAGUGAAUGAGAUUAGGGACUACUUCAUCUCAAGGAAACAAGUAAAUAAAUUUGUUUGCAACUGCUUUGGCAACAUGAAGAGGAUGCAAAAAAGCAACGCGACGCUCGUGGAGAGUGACGAUGACUUGGCGGCCAUGGCGAAUAUGCUCAACGAAGUUGAGGCUGUUAGUCUCACAGUGUUCAAGUCCCUAUUGUCAUUUCUCUACUCCCCAAAAUCAAAGUCAGCUGGUUGGUCCUUAGUCUCAAAAUUGGUCCAAUCCAAGCCCGUAUACAAAGAAGAUAACAUAGAUAAUGGUUUAGAAGCUCUAAUUAUUAAGACCAAAUCAGGCAAAAAAGAAAGCAUUGAUAUGACUCAAGUGCAGACGACCCUGAAGAAUUUGAAGGCCUUUGAAUCAGCAAUUCAAGAACUUGAAGAGGGAUUAGAGUGUGGCUUUAGGUGUUUGAUUAAAACUAGAAUGUCCCUUCUCAACCUACUCAACCAUUAAUGAAACUAGUGAUAUCCAACGACAUCCCGGAUUUUUUUACAAGGGGGCUUGUCUGCAAAUAGCCGUAUAUUUCUACAGAUUGAAAAUGUAAAUUAUGAAGCCAAAGAAGGAAUCUUUUCCCCAAAAUCUCAUCAUCAUUACUAUUAUUACUUUUCAAAAUUCUUUUAUCCUGAAAACUACUGAUCAAAAGACAUGAAGAGUAGGAAGUGAGAAUGAAUCAUUUUUAUGUGUGUGGCACUAAAGUUCAGGAUCCAAUCUUUAACAUUAGCAUUAGACAUUGCUACCAAGGCCUUGAAAGGAACUGCCAUGCCAUCCACUAUUUCCCCUGUAUUCUCAACAUUAUCCAACAAUACGUGCAUAUAACUUCUAAUACAAAUUUAAGCUCUAAUUCUCCUUUAAUUGAUUUCAUGUAUUCUCUGUUAAACCUGUACAAAGCUCUGCUAACAUUUGCAUUAAAUAGAAAGCUUUAUAUUGAGCUCAUGUAGAUGAAACAAUACAAUGAACCCCUAUAGCCAAAAUUAGUGAAUAAUGUCAUCUUUGCUACAGCAAUGGAUUCCCAAUGCUGUAUAAAGUCUAACCUCUUAAUUUCAAUUUUGAGGUCAUGGGCAUAUGAACUAGCACUGAGUCCCGUAUACGGCUAUACCUUUGAAAGCUUCAGAUUUGGGAAAAGCUUGUAGAAAGUGAGUAAAGGGACCAUUGUGAUUUUAGAGCAACCAAAACCUAAAACCUCCCCUCUCAAAUUUCCAGGAAAAAAAUGAGGACCAUCCGUGGGCAAUAAUUGGCAUUUUGAGUUCAAUUGAUCCAUAGUUGAAAAACUGAAGGAAAAAAACAAAGUACAAUGAUCCUGUGAUUAUAAAAAUGAAUUGUUGAGAUUGCACUCAGCAAAGUGUCACAAAGUGUUAGCUUUUGGACAUUCUCUUUAAAACAACCAAAUAUAAGGAGCAAAAAAAAAGAGUCUUUCAUAUCUAACUAUAAAAAUCGAAUCAAAUCAAUAAUUAAGAUUGAUUUUAUCGAAUUCUAACAACUUUAAAUUCUAUACAUUUUUAUCAUUUAAAAUUUAUAAUAAUUAUUCUAGUAAAAAUAUAAUUUACUAUAACCUUAACAAUUUAAUCAGAAUUCAAAUAUAUAAGUCUUGAGUCUCUGGAAUGAUCCUAAAACAUGAAAAGUAAAAAGUUUACGCAUAAGUUACAACUUCCUUUAUGCGAGCCAUGACAAAAGCAAGUUGAUAAAACUUGUCAUGACUGCAUAAGAAGAGUGUGGCCUAUUGGCGAUGGAAUUGAGACAAUAAAUUCUUGAAUAGUCAUUAAAGUUUUAAUGACUUCCUAUUUUGAUCAUUUAAUUUUUUUAAAUUAAUUUAGUAAGCUAGGAAGUGUUCUUCUUUUGUGUUGUAUAAUAACAAUUUUAAUUUUACACAAUUUAUCAAUUUAUGCUUAAUCUAAUAGAAGAAAUUUACCUUCAAUGAUUAGAUAUUAAUAUUUUCAAAUAUAUAUAUUUAUAAAAAGAUUCAAAAUACAAAAAAUAUAUAAAAACCAAUUUUCCAUUUCUAUUUGGUCUCUCAUUGUUAAUGUAUGAGAUAAGCUAAGUUGUUGUAGUCAGUUACAAUUUGGUAUAUUGUUAAUUCUAGUGGUUAACAUCACUUAUCAAUUUCUCAUGUAGAUAAGUACCAUUCUUGUAUAGAUUCAUUCAAGCAAUAAUAACAAGUAUAUUCAGUCAAUUCUAUUAUUGUAUUUCUUUUUUAUUCUUUUGUAUAUUUUAACAUGGUAUCAGUCGCCUAACGAUUCUGGAUGUUUAUUCAUGGCAAACUCUACUGAUUCUACAGCUGCUAAUCAUGGCAGUCCUAUUCUCUCGGGUGUCUAGUUAGUUCAAACCUUUCCUAGACAUGAUACGGUGAAAUUGGAUGAAGAGAAUUUCGUUCAAUGGCAGCAGCAUAUUCGGCUAAUAAUUGAAGGCUAUGAGCUUCUCGGUUACCUGGAAGGGACGUUACUUAUUUCGCCUCGGUUCAUCUUUUCUCUCGACAGCAUCCUCACUCCAAAUCCGAAUGUAUCGAUCUUCGUUCAGCAAGAUAAGCUUCUUGCUUCAUGGCUUCUUUCUACUAUUAGUUCCUCUUUGCUUUCUGGUUUUACAUAGACCAAAUCUACCUACGAUGUUUGGAGCACGACAACUCGUCUUUUCGUGGCGGUCAUUGGCGCAAAGGUCUCUCAGAUCAUACAUGACCUUCAUUCCAUCAAUAAAAGAGCAAUGUCAAUUAAAGAAUAUCUCGCGCGAAUACAAAAUACCUGUGCCCUGCUUGAGGUCUCUGGAUCUGUGGUUCCGGAAGCAGAGAAGGUGGAAAUCAUAUUGGCUGGUCUUUCUUCGAAGUUUGAUGCCAUAUUAACGCUAGCAUCCUUCUCGACAGAGGCUCUUUUUUUUCUCAAAAACUUGUUGAUGCUUUGUUGAAAUUUGAGAGCAGACAAUCGCGUGCGGCGACAGAAACAUCGAUCCAUGCAAACCUUGUUAAGACCGCUCUGUCAACCGUGGUGACUGACUCCAUGCGCAGAGGUAGUUCAUUUUCGUCUCUAGCGCGAGGGCGUGGGUUUCACACUCGUCUACAGUGUCAAAUAUGCGGUCCUUUUGGACAUAUGGCGCAGCGGUGCUAUUAUCGUUUUAAUCAGGAUUAUGGCGGCCCCUCUGCUCCGACUCUGACGUUCUCUGGUUGUGUAGGUCACAGAUCUCGCUAGGGAGGUUCUGGUGAAGGCUGGUGCCCACCGGUUCGUGAUGGACCACCUGUUAUCGCUGGCUCUGAGCCGUACUUUGGGAACCCGAUAGCGGCACAAGGCGAAUCUCCCUAUGGCGCUGCGUGGAGAGGAUCGUUUGCUGUUAGGUUUUCAAAACCAUAUUUUCAAUAUCAACAUGAGGCCGGUCAAAAUAGGGUCUUUAGUGCUGGUCUGGGCCUACACCAUAAUUGUACUGUCCCCUCCUAUGAUGCCCACGUAUAGCAAGAUUUGGGCUCCCACUUUCAGCGUGAAUUGCCGUGUGAGAUAGGCCCUCACUUUGGGCCAGGUGUAGGCCCCCAAUUUGGGCCAAGUACUGGUCCUCAAUUUGCUCAGUCUAGUGGCUCGUGUGUUCAAGGCCGUGCUUAUGGGCCAUAUAAUAGGCCAACCCUUUCGGCCCCUAAUGUGGGCCCACAUUUGAGCCUACCGCUAACUGUGUUGGGCUUAAGACAGAUAGAAAUCUUUUUGUUCCAAAUAUGGGGGUCGAUGUACUGUGGCGGACCAAACCGAGGGCUCAUGUUCACGAUAUUAAUGCUUUACCGUGUGUCGGUUUACCAUGUAUUCCAGAUUUCCAUGCCUCUGAUUUUUUGACCACAUCCGAGUCAAAUAUUAAAACGACUCAAUAUGGGUCUAAUUUUGAUACUGAAGAUUCUUACAUUCCCCUGCCAGUAGGGACGUUUUCUUGGUGUCUUGAUUCUAGGGCCACACAUCAUGUAUGCCGAGAAGCUACUGCUUUGCACGAGUCCACACAUACUCAGGUAACUCUCCUCUUCUUAUGGGCGAUGGGACAGCUACAAAAAUAUCAUGUGUUGGGGACUCUAUUUUACCUACGAGGAGUAAGAUUCUUCACUUGUCUAUUGUUUUGUGUGUUCCAAAUAUACGGAAGAAUUUAUUAUCUGUUUCUCAGUUUGCACGUAACAAUAACAUAUUUUUUAAAUUCUAUCCAACUUAUUGUAAUACCCCGAAAAUUUUUACAGUAAAAUAUUGUCCGUGAUAUAGUAAAAUAAGGAAAUAAAGUGACAAAAAGGGAAAUUUUGAGUUAUGUCAAUAUUGGGAAGUAUAUUAUGAUAUAUUAAUUCAAGAAAGGACUAAAUUGCAAAGAUGAGAAAAGUCUUGUUGCGCAAGAGUAAAUACUUAAAAUUUAAGGGGUUGAAGUGUAAAUAUAAAAAAUUUGAAGGACUAAUGGUGCAAAUAUUUUAAGGGUGGAAUGGUUUAGAAACCAAGAAAAAUUGAUGAAUUAGGACCAAAUUGAAUAGGUGAAAAAUUAUGUGGGACUAAAUGUAAUUUUACCAAAUUAAGUGAUGACUCAAGGAUGGAAUUCUAAAAGAUCAUGAAGGGCAAAACGGUCAAUUAAGUAAGAGAGAGAAUUCUAGAAUGUAAUGAUUAUGUUGAUGAUAUUAAUUAAUUAGAUAAAUAUUAUUUUAUUAAUAUUUUUAUGAGAUAUUUAUUAUUAUAUUAUUAUUUAUUUAGUAUAAAAGGAAGGAAAGAUGAAGAAUUAUUAUCAUCUUUCCUUUUCCAUGCAAACCAACGUAAGAAAAGAAGAAGAAAAAAAGUUUUCUUUCUUUACAAUUUAGUCAUUCCACCAAAAAUUCAUUAUUUUCACCUAAAAAUUGAAAGAACUUCCAUAACCAUCAAGAGAGAAAGAUAGCAAGGAGAUGAUGGGGAGCAAGAAUAUCAUGUUGGAUUCAAGAAAUAGAAGCUGGAGGAGAGAGAAAAAUCAAGUUAAAGAUUGAAGCCAAUAAGAAAAGGUAAGAACAUCAAGAUUUCAAUAUAUUUUUAAGUUUAAUAUUGUUGAAAAAGCAUGGAGUUGAUGUUGAUUUAGAGUUUUCUUAUAUAUGGUCUUAUGUUAUUGUCAUGUUAGUGAAGAGAAAAUAAGAGAAAGUGAUGAGAAAUAGUGUAGAAAAAGAAAAUAAGGGUGUUAUAAACAUGGUAAUUAAUAUCUUGCACUAAAACAGUUCUGGACAGCAGCAGUAGUCUAACUUUGAAAAAUCAUCAAAAAUUGUACAAAUCAAGUUAUAGGAUGAAUAAAAUAUUAAAUUAAAUCUUAUUGAGUAUAGUUUCUUAUAGAAUAAAUUAUGUAAGAAAUGUAAUUGUAAAUCAUGAGAUAUAAAAAAUGUUUUAAGACAAGGUCAGAAUAAUUUUGGGUUCCCCUGUUCUGACUUUGAAAAAUCAUCAAAACUUGGAUAAAAAUAAUUAUGGGUUUAAAUUUAUAUGUUUAGAAUCCUUAAUGAGUCUAUUUUCAAUAUAAAUAAAUGGGAACAUCAUUUGAAUUCUGUACGAGGAGAUAAUAAUUUUUUAGUGAAGAUGGGUCAGAACUGUCAGAUAGCAGAACAAGAGUAAAUUUAAUGAAUAAAUUGUACUUAUUGGCUAAACAAAAAAUUCUGAAACUUUUAUUGUAAGAAUAUAUAUGAGUCUAGUUUCAGGUAAAAUUAGCGGAUCUUAAUUUGGAGUUAUAUAUCUCCAGAUAUAAAUAAUUUAGUGACUAUGACACAGAUGGACAGCUUGAAUAUUCAUAAAAGUAAAUAAUAAAGAUUAUAGAUAAUAUUACUUACAAGUGUGUUAUAUACAUUAAGGAUGUGGAAUGGAGAGGAGGAGAAGGAAAAUAUAUAUGAAUAUUCAGCCAGCAUGGCUAAUUUGCAUGUUUUAGGCUUAAGGACUAAAUUGAAUAAAAGUAAAACUUCAAGGGGUAAUUUUGUAAAAAUGUCAAAGUGACCAAAUUGAAGGGAAUGAAUUGUUUCAUUAUCUAAAUUAAUAAAUUGAAUGAAAUUGUCAAUUUAAGAUCGGGUGAAAAUUGGGAAAAUGGUAAAUUACCAAAAUGCCCCUGAAUCUUGAUAUUUCUGCAAAUUCGCCAAGUAAGUUCGUGUAACUUGAAUUAUAUUCUUAAAUGCUUGAAAUGUAUGUUAUUGAUGUGAAUAUGAUUUGAAUGUUCAUUGUAUGAAAAUUAAUGAAACAUUGAUAUAUUUGAUAAAAUGGGAAGAAAUUCCGGUUGAAUGAAAGGAAAAUUCGAUUGAUCUCUGAAAAUGAAUUGACGGUAAAAAAGAUCUAGCCCGGGUGGGUGAUCCUAUCCUGAUAUAGCCCUCCUGAAGAAUACGUGUAAAACAGAUUUAGCUCGGAUGGAUAAUCUGAAUUAAGGUCUGAAUUUAGCCUGGACUGGUAAUUCAGAUCCAAGCUCAUUAGAGUAAUUACCGUUGCAGGGGAUUUAGCCUGGACUGGUAAUCCCACUGUAAGGAUGAAGUUCGCGGGAGUGUGCUCUCUGAUAUGAAAUGUAUAAGAUCAUGGUUGAAAGAUACCAUGGCAACGUGAUAUGAAAUGAAUAAGAUCAUGGUUGAAAGAUACCAUGGCAACGUGACAGAAAAUGAGUAAGACCAUAGUUGGAAGACACUAUGGCAUCAUAUCAAAGAUAAAUAAGACCGUGGAUAGGAGACGCUAUGACAUCUAUUGAACAAUUGAUUUUCAGGUAAUAUGUAUCAGAAGACGAAUGGUUAUAUGAAAUGGUUGUGUGAAAUGUUUACAAGAACUGGUUAUAUGGAAAUAUAUGUACAAGAUAGUUGUAUGAAAUAAUUAUGAAAAUAGAUAAACGUAAUAAGUAUAAGUACAUGAAAUAUAAUUUAUGUUAAGUUUGAUAUAAACUAUUACCGAAAUAAAUAUACAUAAAAUAUAUGGAAAUGAUGGAGUAUGAAAUAUUGAUAUAACGAAAUGAAUGAUAUAUGCUUACGAAGAAACGGUAAAAGCAUGAUAUGUUUCAUAACAUGUACAUAUAUGAUUAUCUUUGAUAUGUUGAUAUAAGAAAAUUAUGUAAGUUGAGACUAUUAUUAAACUCAAGUACGAUAUGUCGAUAAAAUAGGUAUAUCAAUGUUGAAUUUAUAUGAAAUAUGUGCAAGGAUACUAACAAUGUUGUUGUUUGACGCUUAGACAAGUGCCAAGCUAUUGAUUGAAUGGUAACAUGUUUAAUUAUAAGGAGCAUUGAAAUGGUAAGUACUUAGAUGAAAAUAUAAUUUAAGAUUUUGCGAAUUUUUUUUCUAUGAUCCCGAUUUAAUUCCGGUUGGUUUCUAAUGUGUGUUUUGGGUUUUGAGGGCCCAAUAGAGAGGCGUUAUGAUUAUUUUCAAAAUAUGAAUAAUAAAUGACUCAGAAUUGUCUGAAAAUGUUCAGUAAACUCUGGUAAUGCCGCGUACCUUAUUCUGGCAAUGGAUACGGGUAGGGGGUGUUACACUUAUUGUGUAGUCAAUGACAUCAUGACUCAGGAAAUCUUGCUACAGGGCCACACACGUGACGGUCUCUAUUAUUUUUCGCCGGUCCCUUCUGCUCAGUCUAUUGCUGCUCCAUCAGCUCAUAACACUAGUCUUCAUGUUCAUAAUAAUGGUGAUAAUGUUUUCGCCUUGUGGCACCAACGGCUCAGUCAUUCAUCUGCCUCCACUGUUAAAAAUGUUCUUGAUAAGUGCAAAGUUGUUUCUAAUAAAUUGUAUCUUGAUAAUGUUUGUGUUGUAUGUUAAAAGGGAAAAUAUCAUAAACUACCUUUUUUCAAACUCUUCUACUGAAUAUAAAUAAAUUUUUGAUUUGGUUACCUCUAAUUUGCGGGGACCGGCUUUGGUUGCAUGUGGUACUAAUCUGUAUUAUGUUUCAUUUAUUGACAUGCGUAGUCGAUUUACAUGGGUGUAUCUAAUUCAACAUAAGUCUCAAGUAAUCGAAUGUUUCAUUCAGUUUCAAAAGAUGCUCAAGACUCAAUUUGGGAAGGACAUUAAGAGGUUUCAAAGUGAUUGGGAUGGUAAGUAUUGUGCAUUCACAUCUGUUCUGGCUAAGCUUGGGAUUCUACAUCGUCUAUCCUAUCCUCAUACUUUUGAUCAAAACAGAAUUGCUGAGCCAAAACAUCGACACAUUGUUGAGACUAGUCUCACUCUUCUAGCCCGUGCCAAUUUGCCCAUGAACUACUAGGGCUUUGUUUUUUGUACUGCAGUUCAUCUCAUCAAUCGUCUACCUACUCCUGUUUUGAAAGGUUAGUCUCUCUAUCAAGUGCUUUAUGGUUGUGAACCUACUUAUGAUCACUUACGGGUGUUUGGUUGCUGUUGUUUCCUGUAUCUACGACCGUUCACGAGUCACAAGUUAGGGUUUUGGUCUCAGCCUUGUACAUUUUUGGGGUAUAGUUCUCAGCAUAAAGGUUAUCAUUAUCUUACACCAGAUGGUAAAGUUAUUGUUUAUCAUCAUGUUGUAUUUGAUGAACGAUGCUUUUUGUUUUCAUCAUUUACCGUGGAUAAUAUGAACGCCAGCUUAUGUGUCUCCACAUAUGUCCCUCUUAUUCGUUCUAUUGUAUCUCAUCAUUCUACCAUAGUCGAGAGUCCCACUAGUGUUCAUUUACCCGCUCAUCAGCCUACUCCUCAAUAUAGUCCUAUACCGGAAUACUUGUUGGCUGAGCUAAGGACUGGUCAUGAAGAUCCCCAGUCUCUACCAUCGACUACCGAAAGUAGUCUGUUUACUCCAAUCUUAGUUACCUUACCUUCACCGUCUGUUCCAUUAAAGAAUACUCAUAAUAUGAUUACUCAAUCCAAUGCUGGAAUUUUUAAACCCAAGGCUCUAUUGUUGAAGCUGUUACCUAUGAACCAUGCACUGUUGAGGAAGCUCUUGCUAAUCUAGCAUGGAAACCAGCUGUUCAAGCUGAAUUUGAUGCUUUCAUUGCUAACUCCACUUGGGAACUUGUUCCUAUGCCUCAUAGACGCAAGGUAAUAGGAUGUAAGUGGCUCUUCAAAAUAAAAAUAAAAAUUUAGAUGGGACUAUUGCUCAGCGUAAGGCUCGGUUGACUGUAAAAGGGUGUUCACAAGUUUCUGGAUGUGAUUUCAAGGAAACGUUCAGUCUAGUGGUCAAGCCUGCUACUAUUCGGACCAUUUUCUUAGUUGCUGUCUCUCGCGGUUCGUAGAUACGUCAGGUCAAUGUCAGCAAUGCCUUCUUAAAUGGUGAUCUCACUGACAAGGUAUUCAUGCAACAAUCUCCAAGUUAUGUUUAGUUCAAUGCAAAUGGUGAGCAAUUGGUGUAUCGUCUAACGAAAGCCCUAUACGAGUUACGUCAAGCUCCUCGCGCCUGGUUUGACAAAUGGAAGAAGUUUCUUAUUUCUAUUGGAUUUCUCUUAUCCAAGUCUGAUGCAUCUCUGUUUAUUCGUGUAACGACUGAGUCCGUCCUCUAUGUUCUAGUCUAUAUAGAUGAUAUUAUUAUUACAGGGAGUAUGGCUACUAGUAUAACUAGUUUUAUUUAGUUAGAUAAAUAAUUUUCACUUAAGGAUAUGGGGGACCUGUAUUACUUCUUAGGUAUUGAAGUUACUUGAUCACCUUCUGCAAGUCUUCAUUUAUGCCAGCGCAAGUACAUCAAGAAUCUACUUGACAGAAGUAGUUUGACUAAUGCAAAAAGUGUUCACACACCAAUGAUCAAUUCGUUAGCCCUGUCUAAAGAUAAGGGUGAUCGUCUUGCUGGCCCUACAGAAUAUCAAAGUAUUGCUGGUGCGCUUUAGUAUGUGGUUCUAACCCGAUCGAAUAUUUCUUAUGCUGUAAAUCUUGUAUGUCAGUUCAUGCAUGCACCCACUUCAAUACAUUUGGUGACUUUAAAAUGAAUCUUACGAUAUUUGUGUGGGACCAUAGAUCAUGGGUUGAUUUUUCAUCCAUCUGAUCGACUAUCUCUCAUUGGUUAUGCUGAUGCCAACUGGGGAUUGAAUUUUGAUGAUCAUCGCUCUACAACUGGAUAUUGUGUAUAUUUUAGCCACACGCCUGUUUCUUGGUGUUCGAAAAAGCAACAGAUUGUUUCUCAAUCAACAGCUGAGGCUUAGUAUCAAAUUUUGGCUGCAACCACUAGUGAUGUUAUGUGGUUAGUGUCUCUGUUGACCGAGCUUCAAAUAUCACCUAUCGAUUUGCCUAAUAUUUGGUGUGAUAAUUUUGGUGCAAUAGCAAUUGCUGCAAAUCCGGUCUUACAUUCCAAGUUCAAAUAUGUUGAGCUUGAUCUAUUUUUUGUCCGUGAAAAAGUCACUCAAGGUUUUCUUGCCGUUGGAGAAGUUCCAGCUUGUGACUAGGUCAUUGACAUUUUUACAAAACCCUUGUCCGUCUCUUUGUUUACUCGGUUUCGAAAUUUGCUUCGGGUUUUACCAAUUGAAAAGUUGGGUGAAUGUUAAUGUAUGAGAUAAGCUAGGUUGUUGUAGUCAGUUACAAAUUGGUAUAUUAUUAGUUCUAGUGGUUAACAUCAGUUAUCAAUUUCUCAUGUAUAUAAGUACCAUUCUUGUACAGAUUCAUUCAAGCAAUAAUCACAAGUAUAUUCAAUCAAUUCUAUUCUUAUAUUUCUUUUUCAUUCUUUUGUAUAUUUUAACACUCAUUUUUCCAUUUCCAUUUCCUUUUUUUCCUUCUGCUCCUAAAAGACACUACGACUUUCAACAUUUGUGUUCCAAGUCUGAAUUGAAAUCGUAGAAGAUGUGGGAGUGGUAUUCUCUAAGUUGGAUUCUGCCUCUCUUAUUAUGGUUACCUUGGGGUAGCAAUUGAAGUAUUCCCUCUUUAGAACUUUAGCAUUAAAAAGAGGGUAAAUCAAAAAGGGGUAAAAUUUCAAGAAAUCCUUAUUUGUCUUGUUGUCAAAGAAAAUUUCUCUAAACUCAAAUCGACAAUAUCUGGUGUAGGUGGUGUGUUGGGUCAUCCACUGCCUGAUUCACCGACAUAAAAGCAACAUAGUUUUAAAGUUUUAAAUCAAAAGGUUGUGGUAAUGGUGGUAGAUCCAAUUCAGAGUUUUGAAGAUUUGAGAUAUGUGAGGAAAAGAGAAUAUGAACUAUAGAAUAAAUUACUCAACCAUUAAACCCAAAUUUCAUAAAAAGAAAAAUCAAAGGAUUAAACGAGUAGGAAAGAAAAUGGAGUAGAGAGAAAAUAAUAUUAUAUUAAAUAAUAAUUUAAUUUAAUUUUUAUUUAAUAUUAAAUUUAAAUUUUUUAUUUAAUUAAAAAUGAAAGGUGUCACGAUAUCAUUCACAAAGAGAAUCUUUUUAUAUAAAAAUAGAAAAUAUAUAUUAUAGAUAUUAACAAAUAUUCAAUUCAUUUUUUUGUAUUUUUUUAUAUUUUGUAGUAUAUAAUUGUUUUUAUAUUAGUUUUGAUUUUUUUAUAAUUAUAUAUAUUUUAAAUUUUUUAGAAUUAGGACAAAAUCGACAGAAUAUGUAAAUAUUGAGAGAUAAAUUCGUUGUUGAACUUUUUAGAAUUAGAACCAAAUUGAUGGAUUGUGUAAAUUAUUAUUAUUCCACCCAAAAGAAAGCCAUGUACGGAACAUGACUAUAAGUUUGUCUAACUUGUUGAUUAGACCUAGGGCUUUAGACGACUAUAAAAAUUAAAAAGGACAACUAUAAAAACAAGCAAUAAAUAAUCGAAAAAAAACAAGGAAUCCAAAUUAAAAAUUAGAAACAAUUAAUGACUUUGAAUACAAUGAAGAGGCUUUUAUAUACACUAGAUAAGUACAUUAAAACUCUUAAAUAACUUUAAAUACUUAAAAUAUACAAUAUUGGGUUCAUAUAUAAAUAAAAUUAAACCUAAAAAUCUAACCCAAUGUGAUUUAAACUCAAAUUAAAAGCUUGAAACUCAUAAUUUCCGUAAUAAUCCUGUCCAUAAAUUAUGUUCGCACAAUCUUCACUAAAACGGUCAUAACUUGAACUUCCGAACUCGUAAUAUAAUAAUUAAAAGUGCGUUUUGAAAAUAAAAGAUAGAUCUUUGAACGCUAUGGAAACUACUCAACUUAGAAAUGCUUGAAUGGAAUCCAAAAAGUUGUCACAAGUCAAUUGAUUCUCCAAACUUGAAAAUUGGGAACUUAUUUAAUAAAUUUCACCCCAUCUGUGCAUGUAUCACCACGUUAGCAUUUAUGUUUGGUAACCAAAAUUUUUUAACGAUAGAGUGGUUAAAAACAGAAGUUAAGUUGACAAAAAUAAUUAAGUUAACAAAAAAUGUUAAGUGACCAAAAUACGAACAAGUUAAAACUUAAAUAAUUAUCCCAUCAAUUUAAUUCUUAUAAUGUUAAUAAUCCCCUUUAUCACAACUCCUUUUGCAAUUUUCUUAUUUAUUCUUUUUCGGCUUAUUAUAACAUUUGGUACUUAAACUUGACAUUUUUUUUUCUAAUUUUGUGCAUAAAAUUUUUUGUCCAAUUUGGUACUUUAACUUGACACUUUUUCCUAAUAUGGUACCUAAACUUUUUUGGGGCCUAAUUUGGUACUUGAACUUGGCAUUUUUUUCCCUAGUUUGGUACCUAAGCUAUUUUUUAGGUUCAAUUUGGUACAUAAAUUUAUUAAAUGUUAUAUAAAUUACGCAAAAGACUAAUGAUGUUAAUUUUUUUUUGUUAUGCUACAAAAAUAUUGUCAGUAUUAAAGAAAAUUAAUCUUAAAAAAUAGGUAUUGAGCUAUGCUUAACGAAUUAAUAUUAAAUAAGAAAAAAAUUUAAACAAAAAUGAAAAGAAAUUCACUAUUUUCAAUUAAUAAAAUAAUUAAUUAAAUAAAUAACACUAAAAGUAAUUAAACAUAUAAAUACAAAAAAAAACAUAUUAUUUAUCACAUAUGGGUCAUACAUUGAUUAUUUUUACUACCUCAUAAAAAAUUAAUGUUGUUAGUAUAUUGGAGUAAUUUCUAAACAUUUGUCAAGUUCAAAUACUAAAUCGAACAAAAAAAGAAGAUUAGAUACCAAAUUAGGAAAAAGAGUUAAGUUUAGGUAUCAAAUUAGACACUAAAAAAGAUUAAAUACCAACUUUUAAAAAAUUGUCAAGUUUAGGUACCAAAUUAGGAAGUGUCAAGUUUAGGUACUAAAUUAGGAAAAAGUGUCAAGUUUAUAUACCAAAUGUUAUAUUAAACUUUUUUUUACUUAAAGUAGAGACAUUAAUAUUGUAGCGAGAGUUCUCCCGUGAAUUGGAGGUCCAGUAGACCUGUUUAUGGGCCGGGCCACUCGAAAAGUGGGAGGAUUUGGAUAAAAAUAUAGGCUAGAAAAAUGGGUUUAGGCAAAAAAAAUAAUGCCUGUUAGAAAACGAGUCGAGCCUUGGGUAAGGCUUUUUUUUUGCCUGAGCUCAGUCCGGCCCAAAUAUACAAAAAAAAGAACUGUUGCUUUUUUGUACUGUUCUUGCUUUUUUUAUUAUUAUUUUUCUAUUUUUUUCACUAGUUUGCUACCAUUUCAUUACUAUGUUGCUACUAUUUUGUUAUUAUUGUUAGGAUAUUGUAUAACUUUUAUUUUAUUGUUAAUUUUAUUACUAUUUUAGAGACAUUUGAUUGUUAAGUUGCACUUAUCUUAGUAUUAUUUAAGUGUAUAUACUUUUUUAAUUUAUUUUCAAUUUGUUAGGAAAUAUUUAUUUUAAUGUUUUUAGUAUUUUUUAUGUAUUAUAUUUUUUAAAAAAUUAUGUAAAAAAUAAUAUAAUAAAAAAUUAAUACAGGUAGACAAGGUCGGGCCCGUAUUUUAAUAUUUUUUUAUCUGAUUCAAGCUUCAACAAAAUUUUAAACUCAUUUUUUAAGUCAGAUCAGGCCGAUCCAAACUUAACAAACAUACCUAAAUUUUUUAUUAAAUCUAGUCCAACCCGGGAUGAACACUUCUAGGGUCCACUGUCGUAAAUGUUGAUGAGUCACACUUAUCAUAUGGGCAUCCAUUCCUUCGUCACCCCCAUUGAAUAUCCUCCCUCGCAUCCUACCAAGACAUUCCUUUCACAAAACCAAAAAGUAUGUGUUGUCAUAUGGUAUGGAUUUGAAAACUAUUUUUGUUUGAUUUUUUUCAAAGUUAAAUUUUGAAUUUAAUAAUUAGUUUCACAUUGAGAUUUAAUUUAGUAAUUAUUCUAAUAUUAUAGUUUGAAUUUUAGAGUUUUUUAAAAAAUAUUAUAGAUUAAUUUUAAAAAAAUCCAAACAUUAAUGUGAAAAUAAUUAUCGAGUUAAAGACUUAAUUUGAAAAAAAAAUCAAACCCAAACAUAAAAAUAAUUAUAAAAUUUGGAAUUCAAAAGAUGAUUUAAACGUUAAGCUUCAUAGUAGCAUGUAAAUGAAUGAUAACAUACCAAACAUCAAAAUUCAGUAAUUAUACAAUCGUUUGUUUGUUAAUUUUAAUUAGAGCAACAGCAUGUAACCAUUUUGGGUGUAAAAUCUUAUAUAAAUAAAUGAUGCAAGUGAAAAAGUUUUGACCUACAAUGAGGAUAUGAAGAGUUGGGACAAGGAUUAAGCAGUGGCACCCGACUCAACCUAAUCCUAUAAUAUCCUAUCGUAACGAUAAUUAUAUUAAAUAUGAAUAUAACGUAUAUAUGGGUAAUUAUAUAUUAUUAUUUAUUAUCAUAAUAUAUUAGUAUAAAUUAAAUGUGAUCUAAUUUAGUUAAAAUUUAUUAAACUUUAAUUAUUAAAUAAAGUAAUGGUUAAAUAUGUGUAAAUACUCUAGUAGUUAAUUUUUAAUUAAUGAUAGAUUGAUUAAAAAUUGAGACUAAUGUAUUAAAGUUAUAUAUUAGGAUUUUUUUUAAUUUCCCAUCUUAGAAAAGAGAGAAUCACAUUCUUUUCUAAAUUACUUAUAUGCUAAUUUGAAAGAUCAAAAACUUAAGAUCCGUAAAUUUUAAAAAUCGAUAAAUUUAAGUACGCUUUCGCAUCUAAUUUUAUUAUUAAUUUAUUCUUAAUAAUUUAAGAUGACCGGUUGAUUUAUUAAGUUUUAUUUCACAUUUAUAAACAAACUCAAUAUCCAAUCUUGAACGCGAUCAUUCUUUUUUUUCUGAAUAUUAAUCUAAAUGAAUAGCAUGAGAUUUCAAAACCCACAGUGUGGAAUUGGAAAAUGGAGUCCUCAACGUGCCCUUUCGAGGUUUGUUAAGCCGCCAUGAUUUUCUUUAGCUAUUUUUCAGGCCACUCAUCAUCAUUCCUUGUCAGUAUUCUCUCUUGACGGGUAAACCCAGGAAAAGCAAAAGGUAAAAGUGAGGAUAACAAUUUAAGCAAAUAAAAACAUAUAUCGUAGCUUUGCCAAGCUUUUCUUUUAUUCCCACCACUCCAGUCCUGAUAUACUGGAAGUACUACAGUGUAUAGACCCCUGUCUUUCCGGUAUUCUUUAUUCAGCAAAGAUUUUCUUUUGGGUCCAUGAUUUUUGAAGGAAUGAUUGCACAUGAAAUUAAACAAGAAGAAAAGCACUCCAUUAUUGAAUCAUUACCACCAAACUACAACAAUGAAACAAGAGGUUAUCUUAUCAGCACAGCCAACACUAACAACAGACUCGGAAAAGAGAAUAAAAAAGCUGCCUUUUUUUGGUGUUCUUUUCCUUGCUACUUUUACAGAGUAAGCAUAUGACAAUGAAAUUACCAUCCCCCCCCCCCCCUUGCUACUCAUCCGCAGGGUAAACCUAGCCAGUUGAAUACUUACAUUUGCAGAAAAAUCAUAGAAAAUUAAAAAAGAGAAAUUAACAAGCAAUUUCAGUUUGCAAAGAAGAGUUGAGCUCCAAUUGUUCAGCCUCCCAACUUGCCUUAGCAACAACUCCGUCAUGCAUUGGCACGUAUUCCUAUCCCAACAAAAAAGAACAUUAUCCCAAAUUCUUGGAGCAGAUAUAUUAGAAUUUAUGCUACAAGGAAGCAUUGAAAACCCACCUCAAGUUUUUGGACAAGUUCUGUUGCAGUGGGAGCAGAGAUGACGAUAUGACGUUGUGAUGGUUUAAUAAAGCCAUCAUCCACGGCUUUGUCCAAGAAGGUCAGCAGAUAAUUAUAAUAGCCAUCCACGUUAAUCAACCCGACCUGAGGUCAUGAUAUGAAACAAAAAGAGAGUUAAUUGGUUAUUUGGAAAACUGUUACAAGUCAAGAGAUUCAGCAUCAUGAUGAGACAUGAAAUGGCUUUUACAGGUUUGUCGUGGAUUCCUAGCUGGGCCCAUGUUAUGACUUCUAAUAACUCUUCAAGGGUUCCAUAUCCACCUGUUAAGUGAUUAAUAAAAUUACAUGGGCAAUAGGCAUAGUAGUAAUAGUAUAAUUAGGUUUUCAUGAGAGAGACCUGGUAAGGCGAUGAAACAGUCAGAAUGCCGUGCCAUUUCAGCUUUCCUUUGGUGCAUGUCCGUGACAGGUUUGACCUCUCCUACUGUUUCCCCUGUUAUCUGCUGAACCAAACAAAACCAUAUUUAUGCAUCACUUCCCAAAGGGACUUAACCAAUACAGGAGAGGGUGUAGAGACCACCUCUUUGCUCAUCAGAGUUUUGGGGAUAAUUCUGCGGAUAAAAGAAAAGAAAAUCAACAAAUGAAUCCAGUAAGUGAAGAAGAAAUUAAUUAGUCAAUAUAUGCAUGUAUUGGUUUGGUACCCUAAAACAUGACCACCACCUCGGUGGACUUCCUGAGAAACCAAACCCAUUAACCCCACACUUCCUCCACCAUAAACAAGAUCCAACCUCCUAGAGACCUUGAGCCAAGAAAUUAAAGGAGGUUUAGUACGUUUUUUGAACAAAACAGAGACAGAAAUUAAGAAGGCGGCAUUGAAGAAUGGAAUAAUACCAGUUCUUUUCCAAGCUCAAGUGCAGCAUCACGGUAGCAGUUUCGCUUACCGGAGCUGCUUCCACAAAACACACAAACCCUUUUGAACCUGCUGGAUUUCACUGCUUUAUUCUCCUCCAUCUCUCCUCUUUUUUUCCCUGCUUUGGGUGUGUAUUAUUCCUAUAUGAUGGUUUAACUGAAAGGGAAAAGCUAUGGAGUAUUUACAAAGAUUCUUGGGGGCAUAUCAAAAGGAGGACCCAAUACCAAAAGAGGAACAUGGAACUACACCAUUUAUAGCAUCUCCCCACAAGUUGUAGUAGUAAUGGUUUCGAUAAUAAUCUUGUUACCCGUGGAAUCCUGUCGCGCCACGUGGGUAUCAAAACCCCGAAUGUUUUGCUUUACCAAAUUCUCCGACAGGAUACUCCUUUUUCUUCCCCCCGCCCCCCUCCCCCCUCAUCCAUUGGUUACAACUUUUCCUUUUCAACUUUCAAGCCCAACAGCAGAAGUAAUAAUAGCAAAUGAUUCAGUUCCAACAAAGACCAAAGGGCAAUGUAAUGGCUAUCUUAUUUCAUUUUUGGAGUCUUCAUUGGCAUGCAAUAUGUAUAGAAGCUAAUUAAAUUGAUGCGGCGCAGGGCAGGGCGCUAGCUAUAUAGAUCAGUCCUGCUUGCCUUCGGGCAUUGGUAAGUGUUCCCCUGUUCUCAGCACGGCAUGCUUGGAUCACCAUUCCUUUUAAAUAGAAAAUGGACAUCGCCCACUCUAAUUUCUAAAAAGUAUGUCAUUAUUUUGUCCUAGCUAUACAGUAAAGCCCUGCAUGCAUGUCAACAAAUGUAUAGGCUACCAGAUUAACUACGCCUUUUCUUUAUUUAAUCUUACUGUACGGAGUUUAGAUUUUGUGCCUUUUUCAGCGUUAAUUUCGACUAUGAAUGCCAGAAUAAGAUUUUAUUAACACAAAUAAUGUUAAGAAAAAAAAAUAAUGCAAAUUUUGAAAAUUUGAAAUUUAGUUCCUAUAUUUUUAUUUUUAGGAAUUUAGUUUCUCUACUUUUUAUAUUUUUAAAUUCAAUUCCAACUUUUAAACAUAGUUUUUUUUGUUAAGUUUAGGUUAAUUACAAAGUCAUUUUUCAAUUACAUGGCUAUUAAGAGAGUAUUUUUUUUAAUUUAAAAAUGUUACGCUAAUAAAUUUAAAAAAAUAUAUUUAAUAGUGUUAAUAGUUGGACCUAAAUUUUAAAAUUUAAAAAGUAGAGAGACUAAAUUCUUGGAAGUAAGAGUAUAAAAACUAAAUUUCAAAUUAUCAAAAAAUACGAUGAUUUAUGAUAUAUUUAAAAAAAUUCCCUAAAAACAUUUAAUUUAGAUUUUCUAAAAGUACCAAUCAGUACUAAUUUAUUUAAAAAAUAAUUAAUAAUUUUUAAAAACCAAACUAUAUUACACCAAGUGAAAAAAAAUACAUAAAAGUUUAUUUGGAGAGAAUAUUCAUUGAACUAGUUAUAGAUGGAGUGAUAAAAUAUUUGCAUAAUGCCAAGUUUAGUCUAUUUGUAUCUUUUAUCAAUUUGACCUUUAUUUUAUUUUUGAGUUUAAUUUAAACCUUAACCUUUUAGAAAAUCGAAAUUGACCAUUAAUCUUUUAAAAAGAGUGAAAUUGUUUUUUCUUUAACUAAAGUAUUAAAAUUUUAAAUUAUUAAACAUAGCAGUUCACAUGGCAAUCCAUAUGUAUUCCACGUUCUCUUUUUCUUUUUCUUUUUUUGAAUUUUGAUUUUUUUUGAACAUUUUUAUAAAUUUUAAAUUAUUUGUUGGCAUGGAAAAUAUGACAAAUAGUGCCCUGUUAUCAUUACGUACACAAACUGUCACAUGAGUUGUCAUGCCAACAUUAUUAAAAUUUUAAUGUUUUAGUCAAUAUUUUUGUUUUAAAAAUGAUUUGACUCUUUUUUAAAAGUUAAUUGACAAAUUUAACUCAAAAAGAAGAAGAAGAAGAAAUUGACAAAAAUAUAAACAUUAAGAAUUAAAUUUAGUGUUAAUCUAGACUAAAUUACUUAAAAAGGCCCAUUUCCAAGCAUAUUUACGGAAAUGGGCCGGCUACACCAUUAUUUAUCGGAAAGAGCCACUUUUUGUAAAACAUGCCUACGUGGCCACGUUUAAAGGGGAAAUUGCCAGCAAAGCGCGCCUCUAAGGGAGCUUUUUUGCCACGUCAGCAAAGCGCUUCUACGUCAACACGUUUUGCUGACGUGGUAAAAAACACUCCCUUGGAGGUGCGCUUUGCUGGCAAUUUUUAAACCCCAACGGCUAUUUUUUUUUUACCAUUGAGGGGUCCAACGGUAAAAAAGAGAGUAUAAAAUCCCCUCUCCUAUUAUUUCACACAUAUUUUCUUUACAAUUUAGCAAAAAAUCUCUACAAUUUCUCCCUAAAGCUCUCAGAUCUCUCAUUAAAUUUCUUAAAGCUCUUUAUAAUUAGUUAUUUACUUCAAUUUUUUAAAUUAGUAUUAUUUUUUUAUAAUUUCAAAAAUAUUUGACCGUGUUAGCAAUGGCCGGAGGAUUAAUUCGUCUUGAUCAUAAACAUAUCUCCGUCGAACAAAUGAAAAUGAUAACGGUUUAUUUUAAAAUUUGAAUAUUAUUUAAUAUUUUUCAUCUAUGUAAUUUUAAUUAAUUUGUAUUUUAUAAUUUUUUAUAAUAGUCUGUAGAUCGGGUGUUACAAUAUUAUAUUCGUAAUAUAUCUGGUUCGCCAUCAUCGUUAAUAGAAAAUUACUUAAGGGAAGCGGGUUUUUGACACGUGGCGACUAUAGGUCAAGGGUGCAAGUUGGACCUGAAACUUUUUAGCGCGUUAAUAAAGAGGUGGAGACCAGAGACGCACACAUUCCAUCUUCUAUGCGGAGAGUGUACUAUCACAUUAGAGGACGUCCAGUUACAAUUAGGAUUGCUGGUGGAUGGGGCCGCACUCACUGGGUCUAUUCAAUCUGCUGAUUGGGGAGCCAUAUGCUACGAUCUUUUGGGUGUGAUUCUGGAUAAUAUCUACGGAGGUCGGAUCGAGAUGGGCUGGUUAUGAGACACAUUCCUAGAGCUGGGGAAUGAUUUGACUGAAGUAGAAAUAAUACAAUAUGCUCAGGCAUACAUCCUUGAGAUGAUUAGAGGUUAUCUGAUGCCGGAAUUGUCACGAAACCUUGUACAUCUGAGGUGCCUGCUGAAACUUGUUGAUUUUAGAGCAGUUGGUGAACUUAGUUGGGGGUUUGCCGUGUUGGCAAUAUUGUACCGGGAGAUGUGCAGGGCAACACCACCAAAUAAAGCCAAAAUUGGAGGUUGUCUAUUACUACUACAAUCAUGGGCUCGGUUUCGCUCUCUAUUUUUACGUCAUCGAGUAAUCACCCAUAUACAUUCCUACUAAUAACGAGGUAAAAUUUUUAUUUGAUUUUACAAUUAUUCCAUAGAUUUAAAAUAAAAUUGUAUGAUGAAAAUUUAUUUAAUUAGGUGAAACCAUUUGCUGAGUUAUGUUGGAAUACCUACCGCUCUUGAAGAUAUACGGCUUCUAUUAGACCAACAGUCAGAAGCGCAAGUAAGUAUUAAAUAAAAUAUAUAUACAUAAAAUAGUCGUUUUGUAUUUAGUAUUUAGUAUUUAGUAUUAUGUAUAUCAAUAAUAUUUUUAUCCCGUCCAUAUAGUUUCAAUGAACACCAUACGAGGAUUCGACAAUACGGGCUGUAAUUCCAGAAGAAUUCUUUCAAAAUUCGAACAUUUGACAUGUGAAGGUCCUAUUGGUCAAUUAUGCUACUGUCGAAAUGCACCAGAUGAAUAGAGUGUUGCGACAAUUUGGAUUUUGACAAUCGAUUCUUGAGGAACCUGAGGUGUUCGAUGACCAGCACAAAAUCGACUUACAGCUAAAGAAUACGGAUUGGCUGGUAUUCUGGUCAGAAUAUAUUGAAUUUUGAGAAAAUCAGUAUGAUCAUAUACCUGAUCGUGAACCGAUCAUUAUCCCAGAGUUAGUGUAUACCCCGGAUUACAUGCCAUAUUUACUUUCGGAAGAUCAGAGGCAUCGACAAAUCCGUGUGGAAAGGGAAUAACGGGGCCCUUUAAAUCCAAAGAGAAGGGAUGAUAGCACGGGCCAUAACAGCACCUACACAAUCACUGAGCCCAUCAACAGCAUCGCCCACACAAUCACUGAGCCCAAUGCCUAAACCGACGACACCCACAUCACUGCCUCUUCAGAUUAUGCCAGGUGCGCAUCAUAGCCCUUAUAUGUAUCCUAACCCUUAUAUAUUUCAUUUUGGAAUGCAUGACUUGGUGCAUCUCCUUUCCCGAUGACUCUGACUCAAUCGAUGAUAUAUAAGCCAUCGUCACCGCAGGGAUCACACGAGGCACCAUCCCCGAGCUUAUCUCAUUACACUCCCUAUUGCCUUAUGGGAUUCAAACACCUCUACCGUAAGUGAUGCAAACACUUCCACAUUCUUUAUUCUACCAAAGUAGGUUAUCAUCCCAACACCCACAACCGAAGCAAUCACAACCCCCGUCGAGCAACCACAACCUCCGUCGAAGCAACCAAUGAGGAAUCUAGUACGUAAUUGUCAUCUACCCCUAUGUGGCACUGAUUCCGAAUAUAACACCCCUAACCCUUUUCCGGCAUUGGAAUAGGAUUACGGAGCGUUACCAGUCACUACAGUUUAUAACAUGAAUCAUAUAAAAUUAUUCAUUAUACAGUCCAGUAAUUAUCUUAUUGACCUUUUAAUGGACAUUUGAGGCCCAAAGAAGAUGUUUGAAACAAAUCAGAACUCGAUCAAAAGCUUAUAAAUUUUUCAUAAAAUUUUUAAAAUUUAUCUUAAGAACAGUACCCACACGCCCGUGUGGUUUAGGGGAUAUGCCAGUGUCCUUUACCCGUGUAACUCUUUGACUUGUUACUCAUGAACAAAUUAGUUUCACAUGGCCAAGACACACACUCGUGUGCUUAGUCCGUGUGGAAUUAUUUUCAAUUCGAAUCUAGUGUAAUUUUCGCACGGCCAGACACAUGCCCGUGUGUUGUGACCGUGUACUUCACACGGCUAUGACACAGGCCCUUGUCUCUGCCCGUGUAGCCAUACUUGAGUAUUUUGUUUACAAUAUUUAAGAUGCUGGGGACACACGGCCUAUUCACAUACCCGUGUAUAAGCUGUGUGUCUCACACGGUCUAAUCAUACGCCCGUGUGUUAGGCCGUGUGGAUUCAAAAUGAGCCUUAUAGUUUAAGUUUACCAACCUUGCAAACCUUGAAUAACAAGCAACUUAAAAUCCAAUCCUUCAACCAAUCCAAAACAUGAUUAAAUGCAUCUAAAACAUGUCAAAAUUGUCAAUAUAGUGAUCUAACUCAUAUACUUUUAUAGAUAUCUAAUAUAAAUUUUCUAACUCAGUGGUAUUUCUAUAAACCAACACUUAAUUCAAUUAUUAACUCAAAUGUAUUUAAACUAUAAGAUUUCUAUUUCAUGGCAAUAACUAUAUUUACAACUUAUUCUCAAAGAAAUAUUCAAUUCAAUUCAAUAUCAAUCAAUAUCAGUUAGUUGUUCAGUAUAGUAGUACAGUCAUUUAGUAGUUCAGUACAGUAGUUUACCCUUAUUAACAUAACUCAGACCUGGAUGGAUACACGGAUCCAACCGACACACCAGUACGUCACUCAAUGCCUUAUCGGCUUUACCGAAGUAAGUAGUAGUAGUACGAUACUUAGUACCUCAUCGGAUUAAACCAAAGUAACAGUAACAGUAUGACAUACAUGGUGCCUCAUCGACUCAAAGUCGAAGUAACAGUACGACACUUACAGUACCUCCUCGACUCAAGGUCGAAUUAUCCCUGAACACUUCCAAUCCUAUGGCAUGCCAAUUAUAUCCGACUUAGCCCGACAUUGUUAAUAGGGUAUUCAAUUCACUUUCAAUUUUCAGAUAAUAGCCAGUUCACACUUCGAUUCAAUAUUCGCAACUUAUUUCGAUUCAAUACAAAAAUUGCAAUUCUUACCUCUAUCUCACUUACCAUACACAUUAAAUAAUAAAAGCAAUAAUUAAUUUUUAAGUUCGGUUUAUAGAAAUACAAACCGUAAUUCUCGAAUUACUCUUCGUCAACCUUCUCUUUUCCUUUCUUUGCCGAUGUCUCUGGUACUACAUUAGUUACGGAAAUUAAACAAUUAAAAAUUAUCAAUAUACGUUUCACAUUAUACAUUUCAAUUUCUAUUCAACUUUUGCCUUAAUUUCCAAUUUAGUAUUAACUAGAUUUAUCUACUUUCCUAACUCAAUUCAUACUUCAUUUUUAUUCAAUUUCCUAUCAUAUUCACUCUAACCAUCAAAUAUUCAUAGUAAAACCUUAAUCUCAAGUUUCUUUCAAUUUAGUCCCUCAAACAUAAAACUUAUGGCUUCUUUUACAAUUUAAUCCCUUAAUCAAUUCUAAAUUGAAAUUCAUUCAGUUAAAUCCCUAAUUCAACAAUUUGUUCAACAUGUAUCAUGCUUAAAAAACUAUGAACUUUCAAAGUAUCAACUUAAUUUCAUCAAAACCUUGUUCUAAAGCUUCUAUAAUAUCAAAAUUAAGUAAAAAAGACUUAAUUGACUUACCAAUUAAAAUUUAAAGCUUCAAAUCCCUAAUUUUCCCUUUCUUUUUCUUUCCUUCUUUCUUUCCCCAAUUUUCGUUCCAUCUUCUGUUCCUUUUUCUAUUUUGUUUCUUUAUUUCCUUUUAUUUAUUUUAUGUUUUAUUAUAUUAUAUUAUUAUAUUAUAUACUUAAAUACUAAGUAUAAAUAUAUGUAUAUUAUACAUACACAUGGAACCUUAUUUUUCCACACAUUUGUCACUAUUUCCUUUAUGGCUUUAUUUACUAAUUUAGUUCCUUCAUUUUUCUUUAGUCUAUAAUUAAAUUUUUACACUAUAUUCAAUCUAGUCUUUUUACUAAAUCAAACUUAAUUCAAGCUAAUUCACUUAACCAAAAUCUAAUUAAUCACUUAAUUAACAUUUGUAAAUAUUUCUAAUAAAUAUUUACGAACUCGAUUUUCGAAAAUAGUAAGCCAGAAACACGAUUUUUUAUACCCAUAAAUUUCGGGUCAUUAUACCGACUAGCAUAUACAUUGAUUUUUUUAAAUAUAUUUGUAGAAGCUGUUUCUAUAUUGUUUCAUUUAAUUAAAAAAAGUUAUUUUUAAUAUUUUAAUAGUGAAUUAAUUUUAUAUUUUGAAUAAAAUAUAAGUUCUUUUGAAUAAGGCUGAAUAGAAAUAAUGUAACAUCGUUUCAUAACAGCAAUUAUCAACUAUUUUGGUUUGAACAUGAUCGAAUUGUAUGACUUGGGUUCUUACAAUAUCCACACAACUUCUGUUGGUUCGUUCUUUCCCGGAUAUCCAUAUUAUUACGUAUUCUACUCGAGGAAGGUCGACCUUUUGGUUUGCGACGCAAUUCUCUAUCCAGUAACAACUUAAAUGGAGCAAGCGAUAUAGACGACCACUUACGUUCAUCUGGGACCGGUGGGAAUACGUGUCUCUACACAUUGUACAUGUUUUCUAUUUUGUACACUUCAUCGACAUAUCCCAUGGGAUUCAAACAGAGAUUCUAACAAGCUGCAAUUGCAUGAGCGCAUGGAUAACGAAAUGAGUCAAACGUCCCACAGUCGUAAGUCAUAUUUAUUAGGUGUACAUGAUAUUGCCCACCGGUAAUACAUUGGCUCGAUCUGUCAAACUCUGUCACAUAAAACCAUAGGUUGUUGCGAUCGUGACACAUAGUGUGCAUCGUGUUGGUUUGCGCAUUCGCCUUGUUAAUUUCUUGUAAUACCUUUCGCAACAACACAUGGCCUCCCUGCAUUUGGCCUUUAUAACAUGAUGCUCGCUUUGGAAUUAGUACCGCCGAACGAAAAUAUGUUUCUUACACAACUGAGGUUAUCGGCAAAUGACAUGUUCCUUUUAGAACAAAAUUUAUGCAUUCAGCCAGAUUUGUGGUCAUAUGACUAUAUCGUAGACCGCUGUCGUAUACUUGUGUCCACUAUUCGAAAGGCAUGUUACAGAGGUAGCUUGCGCCUUGAUCGUUAACUGAACGCAAAUUCCCCAACAUAUCAUGAAAACGAUCCUUAUUGAUCUCGUACCCUGCCAAUAUAAGUUGAUAGCGAAAAUUACAUACUAAUAUUCCAUUUAGAAUAAAUUGAAUAUUACAACCAAAAGUAUUAAUAGAAAUUAAAUACCCAUGUUGGUCACUUGCUUUUGUUCAGUCGUAGAUUGAUAUUACCCAUAGUAGUUGGACGCAACAUGCCUUAGACAAUACCAACAGUGUGUGCAAUCCCAUAGGCUUCCAUGUCGCUCAAUUGCGGCUAGUAUUCCAGUACCCUGAUCCAAUAUAACAUAAAUAUUAGGUUGGGGGCAUACAUGCCUCCUUAACCUAGAAAGAAAGAAAUCCCAGUCAUUAGUUGACUCCCUCGGUGUUAUUGUAAAUGCAAUUGAAAGGAUUCUCCCCCCACCAUCCUAUGCCAUAGCUAGCAAUAGCCAAUAGGUGUAUCUACCAUACAUAAAGGUACCGUCAAUUUGUACCAAUGGCUUGUAGUACACAAAUGCGUCUCGACAUUGCUUAAAGCUCCAGAAAAAAUGCUUGAACACUUGGCAUCCACGGAGCAAUUGAUUGUUGUAGUAUGCAGGGACCGUUUCAAGGCCUAUUAUGCAACCUAGGACGUACCUCUCCAGCACUUAACACCACUGCCAAACCUCAUUACAUAAAACGUCCCACCCACUAUGCAUCUUUUCUAAUGUCUUUUGCUGAGCUAUCCAAGCCUUGCGGUAAGAGGGCGUGUACCUUAAAUGACUACGAAUAUUGGAAAUUAUGCAUGACACAGAAGUCUUAAGAUCUGCCUUCAACAUUGGUAGUAUUAAGCUAGCUAUCAUGCUUGAAUCCAUCUUGGGAUGAUCUUGUGAAACACUUGUCAACGAAGUAUGUUACAUAAUGUAACAUUAAGUAAUAACAUUAUUAUUCAAAACCCUAAACACCCAGUGAUACUGUACCGAUAACACAUAUAUAUGGAUCUUUGUACUUUUUUAUCUCCCACAAGUCUGUCUUUUUCUUAAAAGAAGCUACGAUUUUCCAUGAACAUGUAUCGUCUUGCACUGCACACUUUGCCUCGAACUUCUCAGAUUUAGAUUUAACCACACUAUAGUUAACCCCGUGACUAAUGCUAUAUUGUUUCAAAACACCAAGAAAACUGUCCUUAUUAGAAAACUCUUUACCAACUUCUAAAUCACCUGAAUCCAAUGUCGAACCUGUACGGUCAAGCAUUCUGUGUGGUAGAUCUGAAAACUCUAACACAUCAUCUGCCGAUAUAUCGACAUUAUGCAUGUGGGCUGGAGGCAAGUACACCCUGAAUUGCGGAUCUUAUUCUUUUUCUUCAUCUGAACCCCCUUCAACGUCUUCAGGUUCAAAUGGAACAGGCUCUGGUUUAGAAAAUAAUGCAACUUCUACACCAUUGAGGCCGGCUCUCGAGGUGGAUCCAUAUCGGACUCAUUAUCCAACCCAUCAUCAUCUGUAACGUAUAAGGUCCCCUCGCCGGUGGAUAUCGUAGAGAGUAUAUCAUCCCUUCUUGUGGAUGUUUCAUAAUAUCCCCAAUCAGAUGUGGAUUGCCAACCAUUAGAACUUGUUGUCAUUCCUCAAUACGUAUUUCCAGCAUCGAACAUUGACCCAUUGAUGUGCAUGUCCUAUCCACUAACCGAGUGUCGUGCAGGAGUUGUGUUUUCCAUACUGCCACCAAACAUGAGCGCUUCCGUGUUCUGCCUCCCACUGACGGAGUGUCGACUAGGGGUCGUGUAUUCCUCUCGAACAGCAGGUGAUGUUGAAGUCGCAAAUGUUUUAGUUGGCGAUGAAAAUUGAACAUAUAACUUAAGAUAGGGUGAUCCACUAGAAAGAUGAGUCUGCACCAUCGCCUCAAAGCUACGAACACCUUUGAUAUCAAAUGAGUCAUAUGUCACGGGAUCAAUCGAAGCACAAAAUUAAUACUUGAUAGAAGAAACCCUACUUGGUAUCGUUCCGAAGAUUUUGCACAUUAUUUUUUUACAAAAUUCUGUAAAAUCUAUAUUCUGGUUAAAAACCAUUCACACUAUGUUUUCUGAUAAAAAAACAACGUUGUUCUCGGUGUCACGGACCUCGCCAUUAUAGUAAAUAACAACACCAAUAUGGUCACUUAUCUUCAAUUUCUAUUCUGCUUAGCCUCUCUAAUUUUACUUGCUGUAAUUUAUGCAUCCUAAGAAUGAAGUUUGCCUCGUUUAUAAACUAAGGCCAAUCAUGAACUACUGUAGAAAAAAAGCGUCUAUGUGGGAGCUUUUUUCAAAAAUUUUGGUGACAUUGCAUCCUGCUUGAAGCAUUUUUCACACUAUUUGUUCAGAAACAUCUUCUUAAAAAUAUUUUUCAGGAACUACUAUAGAAAAAGAACGUCCACGUGGGAGCCUUUUUCUAUAAUUUUGCUAACAGUGUAUCCUGCUUGAAGCGUUUUUGACACUAUUUAUUUAGAAACGUCUUCUCAAAAUUAUUUUUUCACGAACUACUGUAGAAAAAGAGCGUCCACAUAAAAGAUUUUUUCUGUAAUUUUGUUGAUAGUGCAUCUUGCUUGAAACGUUUUUGACAUUAUUUGUUCAGAAAUGUCUUCUCAAAAUUAUUUUUUCAGGGUACAAAAUAGUCAAUUUUGUUAAAAAAAUAAACACAAUGUUAUUUUUAAAAAAUCUAAACCUUAAUUUAAUUAAAUUUAACCCUAAACCCUACACCCUAAUUUAAUUUAUUUAAAACCCUAGAAUCCUAAUUUACUUAAUUUAUUUAGAAAUCAUAAACCCUAAUUUAACUUAUUUAAAACACUAAUUUAUUUAACUUAUUUAAAAACCCUAAAUCUAAAACCCUAAUUUAUUUAGAACCCUAACUUAAUUUAUUUAAAACCUUAAAAACCCCAAUUUACUUAAUUUAUUUAACAACCCUAAACCCUAAUUUAAAUAAUUUUUAUAAAAUAAUACUAAAUCCUAAUUUAUUUUUAAAAUCUACUAAAACUCUAAACCCUAACUUGUUUUAACAAAAACCUAAACACUAAACCCUAACUUAUUUUGGUAAAAUUUUAACCCUAAAAACCCUAAAAAACCCUAGGGAAUAAACAUGUAAAUAUCCUUAACAUAUAAAAACACGGAGAAAAGCGCCCCCCCAAGGGAGCAUUUUUUACCACGUUAGCAAAACGCGUUGACGUGGAAGAGUUUUGCUGACGUGGCAAAAAAAUGCUCCCUUGGGGGCGAGCUUUGCCAGCAAUUUUCCCCUUAAACGGGGCCAUGUAUGCGCGUUUUGUAAAAAGUGGCCAUUUCUAGUAAAUAAUGGUGUAAUUGGCCCAUUUCCAUAAAUAUGCUUGGAAAUAGGCCUUUUUAAGUAAUUUAGUCGUUAAUCUAAAAUAUUUUUAUAUAAAAUUUGAUCAACACCAAAUUCGAUAAUUGGUCAUUCAAUUUCAGUGGCGAAUACAAGGGGGGGUUGGCAGUGGCCCUGGCCCCCUCUAAAUUGGAAAAUUUAUGUUUAGGUCCUUGAAUUUUUCUUAAAAUUUUAAAUUAAUAAAGGUAAAAUUGUACUUUGGCCCCCCCUAAAAUUAUAAAAAUUUUAUUUAAUCCUUUAAAAAUUAUAAAUAUAUAGACUAUAAAAAAUUAAAAUUUCAUUCGGCCCCCCUAAAAAUUUGUUCUGGUUUCGCCCCUGUUCAAUUUAUAUAUUUUACUUUUUUAUUUAAAAGUUUUAUACAAAAUAUUAAAAGAUAAAAACACGAUUAGAAAAAUAUUUAUUAUCUGUUGGAUAAAAGGCUUUAUAGUUAUUUUUUAGUGACACAAGUAAAAUUAAUGUUAUAAACUAAAUAAAAAUGAACUGAUGUAAUAAAUAGCAAAGGCUUAGAUAUGAGCUCCCAGGUGAGUUUUUUUAUCCAUAAAAUCUAUUUGAGUUUAAAUGUUUUAGGAAAAUGAUGUCAGUGGAGUCGCAUUUGUCUAUUAUUAUUAUCAUCUUAAAAUUUGGCAUUAGGCUGUUUUUAAUGCCCUCCCCAGCCCUCUUUUUCAAGGCGACUAAACAACAUUGCCACACUUGCAUAAGAAAAGAUUCGCUUGGUUAUUCGUGCGUAAACUCCCCAAUAUUUAAUUUUAUCCUUCCACACUUAAUUUUUAUUUUAUCAAUGUUAUAAAAUAAAGAGAGAUGGAGAUAGUAAAGAAUAAAAAAAAAUAUAAAAACAAAAAAAAUACUUUAUUGAUUAAAAGAGGUGAUUACAAUACUUCAUCGGAGUCUCUAUCUAUAUGCAUAAGAAUUAUAAAAGAAGUAGAGAUCUAAUUCUAAUAACUAUUAGAAUUUAAAGUACAUUAAAACUUUAUCUUGAUUAUGAUGGUCAUCCACUUAAUAAGAUAUUCAUAACACUCCCCCUUGGAUGUCCAUUGGUAGAUAAUGUGUCUCGUUAAAACUUUAUUAGGAAAAACCCUGCGGGAUAAAAACCUAAUGAAGGAAAAAGAGUACACGAUCUAUAAUACGCAUAAUAUGCUGUCUCAUUAAAAACCUUAUCAGGAAAACUCAAUGGGACAAAACCUCAGUUAAGGAAAAAAAAGUACAACGCUUAUUUACUCCCCUCAUGAAAACAUAACAUAGUUUCUCAUAUUCUACGUAUUCAAUCUUGAAUAUUAGUUUUUCAAAUGACUAUUUGAAUGUAUUGUUAAGUAUUUAUACCACCAUUCUUUUGAAAAUCAUGAAUGAGGAAAAAUUUUAGGGAAACAUAUUUUGAUCUCUUUAGGAAUUUCAACAAUAAUCAUAGCAAACUUUAAUCAUGAUCCUUCUAUAAAAAUACAAAUAGGUAUUUUGGAUCAUUUUAUAAUCCUCUUUCAUCUACUAUUGACUAAGUCAAAUUUACCACAUAUGUUCAAUUAUUUCAAUUCAUAUAAAUGAAAAAUUUCCCGAGAAUUUCAAUAUGCUUCUAGCAUUUUAAAUCCUUUAAGAUUUUAAUAUAAACUUUACUAUAUAGUGAUUCUUAAAACGUUGUAACAAUAUCCAUUAGACGCAAGUUAAAUCAUUUAUGAAUUGUCAAUUUAAUAAUAUAUCUAAAGGUUAUUGCAUCCACCACAAAAGAAUAUUAUAUCUUUUCAUACUCAAUGCCAGGAUUUAGCGAAAAAAUUCAUAUUUUUAUUCUGCUUUUGCAAAACUACUUUCAUUGCACAUUUACUGGCUUUAUACAUUUAGAUAUUUGGACUACUAGUCCAAAAACUCCAUAAAUUCAAUUAUACUUAAGUUGCAUCUUUCCAUUUUGAUCAAUUUAUUCUAUAUUUAUAUUUCUCAAUGGAUUUAUUCAGGAUCUUCCUUUUAUUUUAUUAUAAUAAUACUGCAUGCAAAAUCAUUGUCGACCACUUCUAUUAUUCGAGUUCACAUUUUUUCGAAUUGACAUAACUUAUCGAGAUCUCUUAUUUUCAUUAUUUUAAAAUUUAGUUUCAGGUACCUAAAUCUCUUCUGAAGUUUUACUUAUUAGUUAUGUCUUGGGUCUCUUCUAGAGCACCCGUCUCUACUAUAUGACCAUCUAGAAUAAUUUUCAUAUUUGAAACCGAUCAAUCUAUUAUUUAUUCCAACUGAUUGUCCUACUGGGACUUUGAAUCAAAUUAAAAUAUUAGAUGGUACAUAACACUUGGUUAUUCUCAUUAAGUUUGUAAAUACAUCUAACAGUUAACUUGUAAUGAGUUAUCUUUAUUGAACUUCUGGUUUAAUUACUCUCCCCUUAACUCAUUACAAGUUAUUGUUUCUCUCCCCAUGUCACAAUUAAAUCUCGAAUUAAUUGCUCAAAAAUAUUAUAAGGAGAUUCAUAUAAAUAUACAUUCCCAAUCUCUUAUGACCUGUGAGUUGUGGUGGAGCAGUUGAAACAUAUACUGACAUAUCCAAAAAUUGUAAGAUGGGAAAUAUUUGGCUCUUGACCAAAAAUCAAUUGUAAUGGGGAGUAUUUAUAAUUUAUUGGCUUGAUGCGUACAACAUAUAUAUCAAUACAAACAUGAAACUCAUGCUGAAAUAGAAAAUUUAGUUCUCACAAGUAAUGGUUUAGCUAUUAGUUGGAGGGAUUUGAUAAACAAUUCAGCUAAAUCAUUUUGUCUGUGAACAUGAGCUAUAUGAUGUUCAACUUUUAUCCCAAUUGACAUGCAAUAAUCAUUAAAAACUUGGGAUGUAAACUCACCAACAUUAGCAAGAUGAAUUGUUUUAAUUGCAUCAUCUGAAAUUAAUCAUUUAAACAAGCAGUCUCACAAAUGACAGGUUGUGAGUUGAUAAUGCAUGUGAUUAUUUUGUAGAUCCAUUUACAAAAAUCAUAUAAUAUCAAAACCAUCCACAUGGUAGAUGAAUGAGCCUGUAUUCAUUUCAGAAAUGCAAAACAUUAAAUCUCAACUUUAGCUAGUGAGUUUCUAAUAAUCAAUUUUCAUUGAGAACAAACAACAAAUGAGAAUUUUUUAAAUUAAAGAAUCUUCUGGUUCUUUAAUUGAAUGUCCAUAUGAAUUCUCAAUUAAUUUUCACAUCAUUUAUGAUCCACUGAUUGGUCACGCCAAGUAGUAAACGCAUUUGUAUUAGUAAACUUCUGGUUUACUUUAACAUAUGUUUUAAUUUUACUAAAUUGUAACAAAUUGAUAAUUUUAUUAUCAUUCCUCUUAAUUUUGUAUCCACAUAUAAGUAUUAUUGUGACAUUUACUACUGGAAAUGUCUAAAUCAAUGCGAAUAUUAUAGUGUCACCAAGUCAACGAAAUAAAUAUAAUUUCUAAACAAUUAUAUGCAAUAUUCGCUUCAGGGAAUAUGCAAAAAUCUUCAAAUAUCUAAAAAAAAUUUGCAACUUCACAUAAUGAGCUUUAGAUAGAAUUAUCAUAUUUUAUUGCUCAUAAAUAAAUAUUUCACAGUCAAAUAUUUUGCUUCCAACACCUUAAAAAAGAUGAUGACAAAAGAAUAUCACAAAGAUAAUCGCAAUCAAUUCAAUUUAAUAACAAGAGUAAUCAAUAACUCAAUCCUCCCUUUUUCUCACCCUUUCAAAAUAGAUAUUUAUCUUCAUUCACAAUCUCAAUAUAAUAUCCAUUAUAAAUAUCUUUUAAAAGUAAUGCAUCAACCAUCAUAAAUUUUGUGCUUUUUAGAUAUUGAUAUAUUAGCUCUUCUAGAGCUUUAAACUAAUUUUGUACUAUCAAAUAUUGGAAUAAUAUUUGUUUGUUUUAAUGCCAAAUAAGAUAAAUAUUUUCUAUCUAUAAUGAUAGAAUUCAUUCCUACAUUUUCAUAUCCUUCCUCAAAUAAUAUUAACAGAAACAAACUAUUUGGGCAUACGCAACAGAGAAUGUACUUUAUUGAUCAAAAGAGGUGAUUAUAAUGUUUCAUCAGAGUCUCUAUUUAUAGGCAUAAGAAGUAUAAAAGAAGUAGAGAUCUAAUUCUAAUAACUAUUAGAAUUUAAAGUACAUUAAAACUUUAUCUUGAUCAUAAUGGACAUCCACUUAAUAAGAUAUUCAUAACAAUCAAUUAAUAUUCCCCACUUUAUGAACAUUUUUUAAUAUAUAGAUUGGCCCUAAAUUUCAUAAUAUUUCUCAAACUGGCCUCUAAACCUUUUUAGAUCACCUUGAUCCUUCAUGUUCGCAUCCGUUACAUAAAUCAGUCUUUAUUAUUAACACUAUUAGUUUUAUUAGGCUUAAUAUAUAGAUUUGUCUCUAAACUUGAUAAUUUUUCUCACAUUGACCCUUAAACUUUUUCUUUAGGAUCACAUUGGUCCCUAAAGUUGAUAUCUGCUACAUAGAUUGGUCCUUACACUAACAUAGUUUAUUUUUGAAGAAUUUGUUGAUAAUCUUUAAUCAUUCUUCAAAAAGUUAAAAAAAAACCUUAAACUUUUGAAAAAAUAUUUAAUUUUUAAGAGAUAUUAUAAGUUAUAAAAAUUCAAAAACUGAAUAUAUAAAAAAUUAAGUUAAAAUUUAACCUUUAAAGGCUUGUUCUUUAAAUAUUCAACUUUUAAAAAAUAAAAUCUAAAAUUAUAUAACAAAUAAAAUGAAAAAAUAUACAAAAAAGAUAGUCAAAAUUUUUAGAAAUUUACAAAAGAAUUUAAAAAAAUGAAAAAUUGAUCAAGCGUUGAUCGAAGUUAAUCGAGCUUGACCAGCAUUGAAUGAUGCUGACAGGGAGUUGACCAACUCCAACCGGUCAAUUUUUGUUCCUUUAAUGUUUAAAAUAUCUUUUAGUUUUUUAAAAUUAUAUAUUUUUCAAUUUCUUGUAAUUUACUAAAAAUUUAACCAAUUUUUUUAUUUUGUAAACAUAUUUAUUUUUAAAAAUUUUAACUAAAUUUGUUAUUUUAUUUUCAAUUUAUUUAUAUUCAUUUUUUAUUUUCAUUUUAUAUAUUCUUUAUUUUUAUUUCAAUUUUAUAUAUAUUUUAUUUUCAAUAUAUAUAUACAUUAAUUUUUUUGAAGUUUAAUGAUUUAUAUAUUUCUUAUAUUUUUUAAAAAAUUAAAGAAAUAAAAAUUUUAAGGUUUUUUUUUAAAAAAAUAGGAAUGUUUAAGAUGAACCCACGUGUCAGCUCAAUGCAUGUCCACAUCAACAAAAUCAAUGUUUAAGAUGAACCCACGUGUCAGCUCAAUGCAUGUCCACAUCAACAAAAUCUUGAAAAAAACAAGCGGAGUUAGUGUAGAGAUCAAUAUGUGUCACAUAUGCCAUCUUUAGGGACCAAUAAGAUCUAAAACAAUAAGAUUAGGCGUCAGUAUAUAAAAUAUUGUCAAAUUCAAGAACUAAUUUAUAUAUUAAGCCUAAAAAAACAAUAUAACCUCAUUUAUGAAGUUUUUUUUAAUUAUUUCAGCAUAAUAAUAGUUUUUAUUUUAUAUUCUUUAUUAUUUGAAAUAAUAUUUAAUAAUAAUUUUUAUCAUUUAAUUAUUUUUAAAAUAUAUUUUUAUCGUAACUAAAGUAUCCAUGAUUAAUAGUAGUGACUAAUCCUCUCAUUACUAGUACUCUAUAAAAAGAUAAACAAUUGACUACAAGAUAUAAUUUAUUCCUAUAAGUGAAAAUAGAACCCUGAUCACAAAAUUAAGAUUAUAUAUAUAAAUUCCAUAUAAAUCAGUUUAUCAAACAUGAGAACAUGUUUCAAACAUCAUAAAUUUUUUAUUUUUAAGCCCAAAAUAAUUAUAUUUAUCUAUCAUUAUUUUAAAUGUUUUAUUGAGGAGUGCAGUUAUUAAACUACUAUCUCUUUUUUUUUUUACAUAACAAAACAAUAAUAAUUAAUUAAACUUGUCAUUUAUAUAAAAUUGUGGUUGUAUUACAAAAAUUCUCCGGAGCCGAAGAGAAAGAAGGACAUUAGUAAUAAUUGCUGAAACGACAUAGUUUGACAAUGUAUGGAAAUUGAGGAAUUUUUAUCCAACGAUAAAACAGUUUGUUGGGUUGAUGAUUUCAACAAUCGUAAAAGAUGAAUUAUUUUAUAAAUUUCAAAAGGAUAUGAGUUGAUUAUAUUUAUUCACAUAUAAUAAAAUUCAAAUUUACAAUAAAUCUGUUCACACGUGUACAACUGAUAAAGAUAAAUAAAUUCUACAUAUUAAAAUAAAAAUAUGUAAAAAAAAUUAUUUGAGUGGUAAAUUUAAAAUUUUAUUAAUUCAAUUGGUGUGAGUUCAUAUCCCAACAUAUGCAUAUAUUUAUUGGUUUUUAUUAAAAUAAAAAGACUAAUGUACCUUCAAAUAAUGUUACUUAUUUUAAUUACAAAAUGAUUUUUUCAUAAUUUUCUUUAAUAUCUUUGAUUUACAUAAAAAACUUUCAAUCGUUCAAUACAUAUUAAUAUAUACAUUAUUUUCGAUCGAUAUGAUAAAGAUAUCGAAUCGAUUCAAAAUUUUAUAUGCAUGACAAACACAAUUACAUUAAUAAAUUCAAAUAUUGGAUAGUUAAAAUAUUUAUAAGAAUAGUAUAAAAUGACUUUAGUUUUAUACCUGUAUAAAUGGAAUUAUAUUAUAUCAAAUAUAAAUUCAAUUUUCACAUAAUUUGUGAUCUAUUGUAAGAAAUAAUAAAUAAGCUAAAUCACAAGAAAAUUUGACUCAACUUAUAUAUCGUACUUUCAUUUGGUUCGAUUGACCUGUAUAAGCAACAAACAAGUAAAAUAGAGAAGAUCAAACACAUAAAUAUUUGCAUGGAAAACUCCUCUAAAAAAGAGAAAAUCCAUGAACAAAGGAGGCUUUAACUUUUCAUUAAAGGAGUAAAUUAACAAUAGUACAAUAUGGAAAAAAUAAACUUAAAUGUACUAAACGUAUAUUACCCAAACCUCGAAAAUAAAGCAUUUACUAAGGAACAAAAUUAUCUCUAUAAUUAUCAUGGAAUUCUCACCAAAACUCAUAUGGACUGUAUCUUGUUGCCCUUAAUAAAAGCCAUUGUUUAUUGACAUAUUAAAACAUGGAUACAAUGUCCCUUAAAAUAGACUAAAAUUAGAGUUCUAAUAUGAUUAUAAUAUUGCUAGAAUAAUUAAAACUAGAGUUCUAAUAUGAUUAUAAUAUUCCUAGAAUAAUUAGAGUUUAAUUAGGAAAUAAAUAGUAAAAUUUAACUAGAGGAAGAAAAAUUUAGUUGAAUUUAGGAACACAUCAUCACGUCGUUUUCUUCUUAUUGAGGCAUUGUCUAUCGUGUCGUCACAAUAUCGCCUUAUAAAUACGAGUUACAUUCUUACACAUUUAUAAAAGAUUAAAGAAUUGAAUUUAAUAUCAGGUAUUAUAAUUUGGAAAGAUUGAAAUAAUAGUGAACUUUAACAAUAUGGAAUGGAUGUAUGAAGAAGAAAAAUCAUGAAUGGUGGAGGGGGCUGCCAUUUUUAUCCAUCCAUAUCGAAUUUUAAUAUGUCCAACAAAUCUUCCAUGAUUUUUCUUCUGAAUUUAUCUUAUUUUCGACCAACUAAAUAAUGUUCAUUUUUUUCUUUUAACCUAAUAAAGCAGUAGAUUUUUUUUCUUUUUCACUCAGGAAUAUUGGAAUUAGUUUAUUUAAUAAAAUAAAUAUGUGGAGGAGCCUAAACGCCCUUUUUCUCACUCUGAGCAACAUCUAAAGGUGGUGGGUGGGGAAAAGUUGUUUAAAAAUAAGCUUUUUGGUCGGUAAUGGGGGGCUCUGAAUAAGUGACAAGUCAUAGCUGUAGAUAAAAAGUAAAGCUGGAGUUUGAUCACCGCAGCAGGCAACCGUCUUUUAUGGCCGCCUAUAAUCCUUACCUUCCUCUCUUAACUUUCUAAUCUUAUUUAAUUUAUUAUAUAUCAUGCUCAUUUACUCUUUUUAGGAAAAUGAUAAAUUUCCUAUUUUAAUCAUCUAAAUUUUAAAUUAUAUAAUAAUUAAAUUUUAAUUUUAAUCUUCAUAUUACACUUCAGAUUUGACAUUCAGUUUUUAUAUUUUAACUUUUUGAUAUUAUUUGGUACCUCAAUUUUUUACAAUAUUAUUGAUUAGCUCAAAUAAUUUAUUUUAAUUAAAAUAUUGAUAUAAUUUUUAAGGUUCUUAAUAGUAUUAAAAUUAUUUGUUAAAUUCAAAUCUAUUGUAAUGACAUUAUUUUGUUACAUGGCUAUUAAGUGAUUUUUUUUAAAUUUUAAAAUGUUACAACAGUGAAUUUAACAGAAGAAUUCAACUAAAAAUUGGAUCUGAAUAUUUUAAAUUUGAAAAAUAGAGGGACUAAGUUUCUAAAAAUAAAAGUACAAAUACUAAAUUUCAAGUCUACAAAGAGUAUAGAGACUUAAAGUAUAUUUUAAUAUUGUAACACCCUUAACUCGUCUCCGUCGCCGAAUUAGAGUUAUAGAGUAUUAGAUUACAAUUUGGAACAUAUAAAUGCAAAUAUAAGCAAUUAUACAUAUGAUCUUAUAUCAUUCAAUAAGCCAUAUAAAUCAAGGUAAAAGUACAUUUAUGGACCUUAAAUCGAGCCUAUGGGGCCCUAAAAAAAUUUGAAAACAAUUAGGAGUCAUUUUGAAACAAAAUAGAAAAAUUUGGAAAAUUUGAAAAAUUUUGAAAACAGGGGACAACCAUAUGACCAGGUCGUGUGAUAGAGCCCAGACCAUGUGGCUCAGAACAUGGUCGUUUGGCUACUCCACAAGCCCAUGUGGCUAUUUCACACGCCCGUGUACGCAGACCGUGUAACUAAUUGCGCCCAUGUUAAAUAAGGUCACACAGCCGUGUAGCCAGACUGUGUAACUCUCUUUGCCUAUGUGGACCAACCUAUACUGAAAACAAAUAAAACACACGGCCGUGUGAGUAGGCUGUCUGACAGCUCGUGUCUCAACCCGUGUGUACCUUAAAAAGUUAGCAAAACAAGGCACAUUUUCAUCCAAAACUUAAGUACCAAGCCAAAUCAAAACUUCCACGCCUUAAAAACACAUUUAACAAACCUAAAAUAUGCCAAAAUAUUCAUCAUAAAUGCCUAAACAAUGUGUCCUCAUUGAAACCACAAUUUAAACCCAUAAACAAAAGUACAUUAAUCUAUCACAAAUUCACUAAUCAAUUCAUCCAUUUAAACAUUAAUUACCAAAUCAAUAUGAGUUAUGCCAUAUAUAACCAAAAGAUCAAAUUUGCAAUAUAGUUAUUAGCACUAAACUUGUAUAAGGUUCCAUUAGAAUACAAGGUACCAAAACAUGUCCAUACUCUUACAAAACAAACACCCUAUUCACAUGCCAUGAUUAAUCAUAGAUUGAGACUUCAAAAACUACCGAAAAGUGAUAAAGGUAGGUGCAUGCUCUGGUGACCGACCAACACGAUCCAAUAGUUCAAGAUCUACAGAGAAAUAGUAUCCAACGUAAGUAUAAGAAAUACUUAAUAAGUUACCACAAAUUAAUUCCUUACUUACUAUAUUCAUUAAGUAGAUAAAAGAAAAUAAUCAAUAACUUCAACCUUGUUUCAACGUGAUUUGAAAAUUCAAAGUCAAUAACGUUUAAACAUAUGGAUAUUCAGAAUUCAUAACUUAUUAUACUUCGUGGAACAAAUAUGUAUCAGAUAACUUUUAUUAUUACGAUGGAUCUUUGUAAAAGUACUCAAUACGUAAGUCCAGAAACAUAUAAUGCUCAUAAGAACUAAUCGGAUACAAAUUAGUUGUAUUAGGUUACCCUUCCGGGUUAAACCAAUGACAGCACAAGUAAACUAGCUUGACCAGAGCUACGUAAACGUAUUAAACGACAACGGAUAACUAAUUCAGGUUGAAUCCGAGUCUUAUGUUAACUCGAGUCCGCAACACAUGCAAGAGCUUGGUCUAGAAUAUAUAUUCAAAUAGAAUUUUCACAUAUGAAACUUUUACUCGAUCCAUCAAAAUCUUUUUAGAAAAUUUAUUUCUACUCCUUAUAAAUCAAAUUAUUCACUAUAAUGACGACUCAAUAUGUAUAUAGGUACGAUUAAUACAAUUAAUAUCAAAUUAUAACCAAAACAUCAGUAGAAACUUACCUGGUAAAUGAUUUAGCUAUUAGGGACUAAUUAGUAAUUUUCCCUUUUCCUCGUACGUCAUUCACACGUUGAAAUUCUUAAUCUAGAAUAUAAUUUAGUUCAAUUAAAUCCAUUCAAACCUUAUGAAUACUCAAUUUAUACAUUUAAUUCAGUCUAACCACAAUUACAAAUUUUACCCUUAAACUUUCACCUUUAUACAAUUUAGCCAUUGAUUAAAAAAUAUACCAAAAUAAACAUAAUCAUGCUUAAAUCAAAUUAGCCGAUUCUUCUACUCCCCAAAAUAGCCCACACAUUACUCUUUUUCAAAAUUUUACCUUUAAUUUUGUAACUUUAUGAAUUUAAUCCUUAAAUAUCAAAAUCAAUAAAAUCUACUUUACAAACUAUCAAUACUUAACUACAAACUCACAAAAGCCAACACCAAACUUCAAAUUACUCAUGAAUUUAACAAUGACACAUGACAAAAUCUCAAAAACGUAAAAAUUACUAAAAAAAUAAAACUAAAAUCACUUACAUGCAAGCUCUUUAAGUGACCGAAUGCUCAAGCCCUAACCAUGGCGAAUUCCUUCUCUAAUUUCGGCAAAGACAAGCAAAAAUGAUGAUAGUUUAUUUUUUUUUCUUUCAUUUGUUAAUCCUUAAAUUUCUUAUUUACUUAUUCACCCUUAAAUAACAUAUUAAUCUAACAAUUUUAAAGCCCACAACUGUCCAUACGAAAAUAUUAUGGUCAAAUUACUAAUUAAAGACCUCAAAACAAUUUUCUAAAACUAUUAAACCCAUUUUAUAAAUAGCAAUCAACUUUCUCAUUUUUACAACUUAGUCCUUUUUACUUAAUUACUCAACUAAAUUUCUAAAUUUCUAAAUAAAAUUUGAAUAAGACACUAUAGAAAUUUUAUAAGUAUUCAAUAAAUAAUAGUUCACUGACUUACUAGCCGGAAUUGUGGUAUCGAAACCACCGUUCUCGACACCACUAAAAAAUAUGAUGUUACAAGUAUUCACAUAUUUACUCUACAAUUUGACUCAAAAUGUAAUUAAUAAUUCAGGUAAUGCGAAACCUGUAGGGUCCAUACUAGUUCAGUUUUAAUUGUAAUUCCUCUAUACUUUUUUUAAAGGUUUAAUGCACACUAUAAUCUCUUAACUAAAUCAUUUUUCUUAAUUUGGUUUUAAUUUUUUUUUGCUCAUUUCAAUUUUUAACAUUAUUAGACAUCUCUAUUUUAUCCAUUGUGAUGCGAGUCUCAAGGCACAAUUUCAGACCUAUAAAUGUGACAGGCACACAGUACCUCAAGGCCUAACAACAAUGUUAAAGGCUAAGCAAAUCAAAUCAGGAUUCAAUCAAAGAAAAGAUUUGAGGAUGAAUCUUUUCGAGGAAAAGGAGAAUGAUACAUGCACGAAUGGGGUGAAAUUUAUUAAAUUCCAAUUACCAAAGCUGCCAAUUUUCAAGCUUAAGAAAUCAACAGACUUGCGACGACUUUUUGGAUGGGAUACUGACAUGUCUGGGUUAAGAUGUCUUCAUGGCGUUUGUGAAGCACUAAAUGGAUGAGAUUGAUGUUGUUGAAACUGCUACUCAAUCUCAAUGGUCUUGUGUACCAUAUCCUCAAGAUCAAUGUAGGUUUGAAGGUUAAGAGCAUUGGCUAUUGAAACAUUCAAGUCAUCUACGAACCUCACCAUGGUAGUCUCGUCAUCUUCUUGUACUUUUGCUCUUUGCAUAAGCAUCUCCAUCUCCUUAAAGUACUCAUCAACAUAUCGAUUACCUUUGAACACGGUAUUGAAGUCUCAUUUUGACCUCUCCAUAUUAAUGAGAAGGAACAUAAUGUUUUUGCAUCACUUGUUUCAACUCGUCCCAUGUUUCAAUUAUCUUUUCGUAGUUUAUUUUACAAUAAAUUCCAAGUUGAAUCCACCAAAUCAAUGCAUAAUUUGAAAAUCCAAUGGUCGCCAAUGGGACUUUUUCCUUUUCCUGGCAUUUAUAGCAAUGAAACAUAAGUUCAAUUUUUUAUUACCACCAAAUCAAUGCAUAAUUUGAAAAUCCAAGGAUCGUACUUCCCUUGGAAUGGUAGAAUAUUGAACUUUGGUUUAGCUAAAAAAUGUUGCCUACGGUCAUUAUUAACCAAAGUCUCAUCAUUUGCAAGAGAGACAUGUUGAAUAUUAUUUGCACGAAGACGAGGUUGAUCAAUCUUAUCUCACCAAUUACGAUUCCGAUGCUCAAUUUUGGUAAUUAGACGUUCUAAAUUUUUGUUGAUCGUGUCUAGAAUAGUUUCACAUUGCUGAUUAUAGUAUUGCAAAUCAAUAGGAAAGCCUGAAAAGAACACAACACUUAAGAAAAGAAAAAUUAAGCAAAUCUCACUGUUAUUCACUUAGAAAUAAAAAUCAAAUUCUCAAUGAGAUAAGAAUUAAUAUUGUGAGUCUUUUAAAAAGUGUCUAUAUCAAUCAAUCAGAAUGUAUUAGAAUCAAACUAACAAAGCAAACCUAUUAGCACCAUGAGUCCAAAAUCGACUAGACAUAAAAGAAUUCUGUUACACGGAGGAAGGAAUAUGCAAUGUACUUUAACCUACUAACACAAGAAAUAAUAAAGUGUUAGAAUGCAUUAAGGAACAAUGAAAAGAACAAAACAAAUGAAAACCUAAGGCUAAGAGUCAAUGAAAAUUGUUGAAACCCGAAAAUCUGAAAAAUUGCGAAGCAACUUAACAAACUUAGUUCGAGGUGUUCUCGAUUUCAAAAAAUCACGAAAUUUAAAUUGGAGCCUCCUAAAAUAAUGUAGAUUUGAUCUGGAAAGUUUCGGCACAAAAUUCAUCCCACAUAAUAUUUUCUUAUUUUUUAUUUUUUCUGUCUUUUUUUUUCACUUUUUUGUGGGAAAUAUUUGUUUAUACUUCAAAAUAGUGCCAAUAAAUAUGUAAAAUUUCAUAUUGUUUGAAAAACGUAUAUCCACUGAAAAAUAUUUUUUUCGAAAAUUGUCAAGGUGAAAAAAUUGUUUUGAGGCUGUUUGCUAUAAAUCAGUUUAUAAAAACAAAAAGAACACCUAAAACGCCCAAAUCUGAUAGCAAAUGAUAAAGAGUGAGACGAAUGAAUGCAGAAGAGGGUUGUAAAGUUUUUCAAAGAAAGAAACUUAGUUUUUUGACACAACCUAAAACUCAAUCAAAUUCAAGUUAGAGAAAAAAAUUAAAAUAAAUAACUAAGAUAAUUAAAAUAGAAUAAUAAAUCUACGAUUAGAACAAUAAGGAAGAAAAUAAAGAAGAUAGAUGGAAAGAUAGAACAUGGUAUGUAGAAGUCCUAAGAAGCCUUGGAAACAUGAAGAAUCCACAACCCCUUUCAAACGGCUCUAAUUUCCCCUCCAAAAAAGAAAAUUUGGGAAGAAAAAGUUCAAAGAUGAUCCCUAUAAUCUAAAAAGAUUGUUAAAACUCUUUUGAAAGAAACUUAAGAGAAAUUCUUAAUAAAAAGAAAACUCAAAGAGAAUUUAUAAACUCAAAAGAGAAGUUGAAUAAUAAUCAAUUGAAUGAAUUGUGUACAAUGCAAAGGCAUAUAUAUAUAGGCUAGCUAAAUAAAUCUAAAUAAAACUUUUAAAUAUACUAGAACUCUAAUUUAAUCUAAACAAGAAGUAGUUUAAAACUAAAUUUUAUUGUUAACAAAAAACUCCUAAACAACUUAAAAUACUUAAUAAUUAUAAAAAAAUUCUGAAUAAAAUAAUAAGAGUUGAAAAAUACAAUAUUUGGCUCAUAUAUAGUAAUUACGCCUAAAACCCAAAGCCAAUAUGAUUUAAACUCUAAUUAAAAGCCCGAAAUUUGUAAUUCCCGUUAUAAUCCCGUUCAGAAAUUCUGUUCACGUUGUCUUCACUAAAACGAUUAUAAUUUGAGCUCCCGAACUUAAAAUCGAGUGAUUUAAAAAAUGUUUUGAAGAUAAGAGGUAGAUAUUCAAAUGCCAUGAGACAUCUCAACCCAAAAAUGUCAGAAUCCUAUCCAAAAAGUCGUUGCAAGUCUGCUGAUUUCUCAAGCUUGAAAAUUGACAGCUUUGGUGAUUGGAAUUUAAUAAAUUUCCCCCAUCCGUGCUUGUAUCAUUCUCUCUUUCCUCGAAAAGAUUUGUCCUCGAAUCUUAUCUAUGAUCGAAUCUUAAUUUGAUUUGCUUAGUGUAACAUCCCUAACCCGUAUCUAUCGCUAAAAUAGGGUUACUGAGCAUUACCGAGAAACCGUAACUUAAAAACUUUCAUUCUUAAACAUUUCAUAUAUCAUAGCAUAAUUCAUUCAAACACAUACACAACGUCCCUUAUUCGAGCCCUCGGGGCCUUAGAGUCACUUUAGAAACAAUUCGGGAUUAAAUCAGAAACAUUUAUAAUUUCGUAGAAAAAGAUAGAAUUUUCUUCAAACUAUAAGGUUCACAUGGCUGUGUAACACUCGAAAUGACCUCACACGCCCAUGUACCAGACCGAGUGCUAGUCCGUGUUACUAGCUUAUUUGUGUCCUUUAGAAAUUACAUGGGACACAUGACCGUGUCACAUGGACACACUCCCGUGUCUUAGGCCAUGUGGACUAGAAAAUGACCACUUCCAAGCCAUUUCUUUCACCUUUUCAAGCAUAAACCUACAAGAAAUUUGUACAUGUAUACAAGGUCUUUAAACAUACUCAAAUAAUGCAAAGAAUGACUAAUCUCCAUACCAAAUAUUCAUACAACAAAUAUGCCAAAAGGCACCUCAAUCAUCAAGCAUCAAACUUAUAUAUAUAUCUAUAUAUAUACAUGAGCAUAUUUGUUUAAACCUUAACCAUACACACCUAAUUAAUCUCAAUACUAUUUCCAUGCUAUAUAAAAAAAAAAACUCACCAUAUUUGACCACAUUUAUACCAUUCACCAACUGAUUUGUUUCCAUACCAAUACAUAACACAAUUGACACAUACAAACCUUACCAUAUUAGGCAUACAAUAUUUCAAUCAUGCACAUCUAUUCAAGACUUUUCCAAAACAUACCAUGUGUACGCCAUAUUGAGAUCGAUACAACAUAUACCAACUUUGGUCAUUUCUAAACAUGCAUCAAAUUGAUCAUAUUAACCAUAACCAAAAAGAUAUCAAUAGUACCUUAAGUACCUCAAAUUCAAGGCAACAUUUCAUGCCAUAAUUAUCAACCAAAAUGACAUAUAUAUACCAAACUCAUCAAUUAAACAUUAGGCAUAAUCCACUUAUACAUGCCUUUAUAGUCUUAACCAAGAUAUCAAAAUCUACUGAUAUAAUCGCUAGAUAGUGUGAUAGAUCUCUGACGAGCUUCCAACCUGAUCGAACUUUCGAUAACCUAUAAAGUAAGGGAUAAAUAACUAAAUAAGCAAGGAACACUUAGUAAGCUUUUACAAACUUUAAACAUAGUAUUCCAAUUCAAGAAUAAACUUUAUAUGAUAAAUAUAAAGCUAUACCAAUGCCUUCAGAUUUAUCACCUACAUAACCACCAACUCAUAAAUUAGUAAGUCUAUCAACAUCAUAUAUAUAUUCAUUCCUAACAUAAUAAGAUUUUAUAAAACAUUUUACACCAUCAUUAACAUUUUUAUAAAACUACGAAUAACUUCCUUUACUUACUUUCUAUUCCAUUUACUAAACAUAAACUUAAAUAACAACAUCAAUUAACUAAUUAAUAUAUUUAUUCAUAACAUAGGUAAGUUCAACCAUAACAUACGUAAUUUCUCAUAUAUAAGUACAUAAUUCAACUCAUCAAUCCCUUUUUCAACAUAUCACAUUUCAGUAAUGAACUUACAUCAUCAUUACCUUUUCUUACCCGUUUCAUUUGUAUAAUACCAAACAUAACCAUGAACAUCAAUCAUGAUCUCAAGCUUGACAUAAGCCAAAUCACCAUCAUCAAUACACAAGUUAGUGCAUUUAAGUAUACAACUCAUUCAAUCACAUGAUAAACCAUUUUAUAAGAAAAUUCACCUUUUGAAUCAUACAAGCUUUUCAUGAACAUAAGCAUAUUCUUAUUUUUGUUAUUUACCCUUUCAUUGUAUAUCAUUAAUAUUAAACAUGAUAUAAUGUAACCAUAAGCUUACCAUAAACCAAAGCAUCAUCCAUAAUCUCAACUAUUGAAUUUGUAACACCCCUAACCUGAAUCCAUCGCCAGAACAGGGUUACAGAGCAUUACCAGAGUUUACAGAUCAAAUAAAUAGAUAUUUCUUAUAAAAUAACAUUUAUAUCGAAAACCAAUAAAAAAAAUAUAUUGUCACUUAUGCGAGCCAUCGAAGCCGAAAAUAAACUUUAGAAAUAAGUCGGGACUAAAUCGAAUACUCAAAGAAUUUUUGGAAAACAUUAAAAAUUUUCAAAGGUGCAGGGGACACACGUCCGUGUGGCCAGGCUGUGUGGCUAACAUGGUUAAGAGACACGCCCGUGUAUCAGGCCGUGUGGGUAUUCGAAAUAGGGGCACACGGCUGUGUCCCAACCCGUGUCCAUACCCGUGUAACUCUCUGACUUGGGUCACAUUGCCAAGCCACACGUCAGUGUGCUAGGCCAUGUGAGCAUUCUAUUUUGCACAAAUUAAAGAUACAAGGGGACACACGGCUUAGACACAAGCCCGUGUCUCUGCCCGUGUGGACUAAAAUAGGCUAUUUUCCUAGCCAUAUUUCUCACCGAAUUUGUCAUCAACCUAAAUCAAUAUUUUAGACAUCAACAAGCCAUAACAAGGCAAUCAAAUCAAGCCAAAAUCAAUACUUAAACAUGUAAUACUAUCAUAUACCAACAAUAUGCACUUAGGCUCUUUAAAUGACAAAAUAACUCAUAUCAAUCUAAUAACCAAUUUCACCUACAUAAUCAAAUACAUAUAUGCAUAAUUUACCUAAUAUACCUAUUCAACCCAAUCAUAAAUAUACCUAUAAGAUUUCCAUCAUUCAACCAUUUCAAACACACAUCAAAAUUUAUCCAUCACAAACCAUUUAAAUGGCUAGUUCGAACAAAAUAUUUAUAUGCCACCAUUGGCCAAAUUAACCUAUACAUGUCAUUAUAACCAAAAUUAAUUUACUAAUUAUACCAAAAAGGCUGCUAGAUAGUGUGAAGUUGCUUCGACCAGCUUUCAACCAAAAUGAGCUUUCGAAAUACUAUAAAACAUGGAAAAUAACAAAGGGUAAGCAUUUAAGUUUAGUAAAUUCGUAUAACAAAGAAAUUAACUUACCAUUUAAUCACAUUUAAGGUAAGCAUGCUAAUAUAACCAAACCAAUUUGGCCAAAAGCCUAAACACAUAUCCUCAACAUGCUAGCCAUGUAACACUUUCCAUAACCAAUAAACAUGGUUGUACAUAAUCACUAGGUAAGAUUCACAUACAUGUAUCAUCCAUCUCAUAUUUCAAGAUAUCAUGUAAUAUCAUUUUCCAUGUAACUCAAGUAUAUACUAGCAAUUGUUCAUUUCGAACUCAUAUUGUUUCAUAUUAGAACUUUGCCCGUUGAACCAUUUAAAUAUUGUUGAUACACGGGUAGUACACACAAAGGGUACAAAUCUAUAAUCAUCAAUUCAUAUACAUAUGUGCUAAUAUGAGCAUGUAACGGGAAGCUCUUCCGAGCUAUAUAAUGGGAAGCUCGUACGAGCCAAAUAUUGGGAAGCUCAAGAGAGCCAUUAAUUGGGAAGCUCAUGAGAGCCAAACAUCGGAAUGCUCAUAAGAGCUAAAUAAUAGGAAGCUCGUGAGAGCCAUUGUGUGUCUACAACACAUGCAGGAUCACAACCAAAUCGGGAACCCUAAUGACAUGUCAUUUCCAUCCUUUGAAUUUUUAAGGUUCAAACGGGACUUGGUACUUGUCAGAUAUGUAAUCAAAAAUUAUACAUGGCAAUCAUACAAAUCACAAACAAUAAUAUUCAAUUCAAAACAAAUAAAUGUAUAACUUAAUUACACGAACUUACCUCAAUAAGUUUUCACUAGAUACGAAGGUUACUAAUCUGAUACUUUUUCCUUGCCUCGAUCUAACUCCGUAUUAGGUCUAUCCGGAUCUAUACGAAUGAAUUUAACUCAAUUUAAUAUAAUUCUUAUUCAAUUCAAUCCAACACACAUCUUUUGGAAAAAUUUCUAUUUUGCCCCUAUACUUUUAAUAAAUUAUGAUUUUGUUCGUAGGCUCGGAAAAUGAAUUUCAUACAAUUUAAUCAUUAUUUCAAGCCUAGCUGAUUUUCAUAUAUAUAAAUAACAACCUAUGAAUUUCAUAAAAUUUAGAAUUUUUCCAUGAAUUUAUCAUCUUUUCAAUUUAGUCCCUAAAUCAUAAUUUCAUUAAAAUUCUCUUUACAAAAGUUGUUUAUCUAACAACCACAUUUCAUUUUCUACCAUAAAACUUCAAAAUUCAACUAUACUCUUCCAUGGAAAAACUCUAAUACUUUAAUAUUUUUGCAAAUUAAUCCCCGAGAUAGCUAGAUUAAGCUAUUACGAUCUCAGAAACAUAAAAAAUCAUAAAAAAAUGGGACAAGAAUACAUACCUAAUUAAGACAAAUAAAAUUUCUAGAACUCAACUUCCACGGGUAGGGUUUCCAUGUUUCUGUUUUAGGAAAGAUGAUGAAAAUGAUAAUAAUUUAAUUAUUUAUUUCAUUUAUCAUCAUUAUUUUAUCAUCUUUCCAAAAUUAACCUUAAUUAUUUUCUUCAAUUUCUAAUGAUGAAUAAUCAUCCUUAUCUAAUGACUAUUCUAAAAGGCUAUUUUCCAUAUAAUGACCUCAAAUUUUAAAUUCCAUAGCUAUUUGAUACAUUUAGCUAUUAGAAUUCAACUUUUGCAUUUUAUGCAAUUUAGUCAUUUUUAUCAAGCUAGGCAUGCAAAUGGUAAAAUUUCUUAACGAAUUUUUCAUACAAUAUUUUUAUCAUAAUGUAGACCAUAAAAUAAUAUUAAAAUAAAUUUUCUUUUGACUUUAGAUUUGUGAUCCCGAAACUACUAUUCCAAUUUCACUGAAAACGGGCUAUUACAACUCUCCCCCUUAAAGGAAUUUUCGUCCUAAAAAAUCUUACUAGUAAAAAGGUUCGGAUAUUGCUUUAUCUUAGUUUCUUUAGGUUAGUAGGUAGCUUCUUCUAUUCCGUGUCGUUGCCAGGGGACUUUUACUAAAGCUACUUUUUAUUUCUCAACUCUUUCACCUUACAUGCCAGAAUUCUGAUCCAUUCCCCACUGUAUGUCAUGUCAGGCUAAAUUUCAACAUCUUCUAAAGAAUUAAUAUGUGAAGGGCCAGAUCGAUCUCAUCGUAACAUAGACACAUGGAAAACAUUGUGGAUUCUUUCAAGUUCUGACGGUAAAGCUAAUCGGUACGCAACAAGUCUAGUUCUCUCAGUAAUCUCAUAUGGUCUGAUAAAUCUCAAACUCAAUUUUCCUUUACGACCGAACCAAAGAAUUUUCUUCCAGGGCAAAACUUUUAAAAAUAUUUUGUCACCAACUUGAAAGUCUAUUUCUUUACAUUUAAGAUCCGCAUAAGAUUUUUGACUAUCAGAAGCUACUUUUAAGCUAUCUCAAAUCAUUUUCACUCUUUCCUCAGUCUCACGAAUCAAAUCAACUCUGUGUAUCCUUUUCUCACUGAGCUCAGUCCAAUAUAACAGAGUUCAGCAUUUUCGACCAUACAAAGCCUCAUACGAUGCCAUCUUUACGCUUGACUGAUAACUAUUAUUAUAUGAGAAUUUGAUUAACGACAGAUAUUUCUCCCAAUUGCCUUCGAACUCUAAAAUGUUAUUAUAUGAGAAUUCGAUUAACAACAAAUAUUUCUCCUAAUUGCCUUCAAACUCUAAAACACAACACCGAAGCAUAUCUUUAAGAACCUGAAUCACACGCUCUAAUUAAUCAUCAGUCUGAGGGUGAAAUGCAGUGCUAAAAUGCAACUGCGUACCUAGAGCUUCCAGUAAAUUUUUCUAGAAUCACAAUGUAAAUCGCUAAUCUUUAUCUGAAAUAAUGGAGACUAGCACUCCAUGUAGUCUGACAAUUUUUGAAUCAUUCAAUUCUACAAUCUGUCUAGAGAGAAAUCCAUACGUACUGGAUUAAAAUGUGCAGACUUCGUCAAAUGAUCAACGAUAACCCAAAUGGCAUCUUUUUUUCAGAGAUAAAGGUAACCCUGAUACAAAAUGCAUUGUAACUCUAUCCCAUUUCCACUCCGGUAUCAUCACUGACUAUAACAGUCCCGAAGGUACCUAAUGUUCAGCUUUAACUUACUGACGUAUCAAACACUUAGAUACAAAAUCUGAAAUAUCACGUUUCAUUCUUGGCCACCAGUACAUCUGUUUCAAAUCAUUGUACAUUUAUUACUUCCUGGAUGAACAUACAUACUACCUUUAUGAGCUUUAUGCAAAAUUUUCUGUACAAGCUCUGGAUUUUUGGUACCCGUUUAGGUUGUAACUCAUUAUCACGUUUUUGAACUUCACAGAUCUACUGUAGAAACAUCGGUUUAGCUUUUAACUAAGCUAAAAUUGAGCCAUCAUCAGAAAAUGACAAGCGGGUAUUCAUUGCUCGCAACGCAAACAAAGAUUUUCUACUCAGAGCAUCCGCAACUACAUUUGAUUUUCCUAGAUAUGAAUCAAUAACCAACUCAUAAUCUUUUAACAGUUCGAGCCAUCUACGCUAUCUCAGAUUCAACUCUUUCUGCGACAUUAGUUACUUUAAAAUUUUAUGAUCGAUAAAUAUAUGACAUUUUUCACCGAACAAAUAGUGUCGCCAAAUUUUCAGCGCAAACGCAAUUGUUGCAAAUUCUAGAUCAUGUGUCAGAUAGUUCUUUUCAUGUGGCUUUAAUUUUCUAACAGCAUAAGCUAUUACUUUACCUUCUUGCAUCAAAAAGAAUACGAAACAUUUUGGUUUUAUUUUAAUUUAAUUAUCAAAUUACCAUUUUGCCCUUGGUUAAAUAAAUUAAGAAAACACCAAAGUUAUGUCCAUAUUUGUCCAUCACAAAAAUAUAUGGUAUAAUUACCAUCAAAGGAAGGUUUAAUUUCACAAUUGGUCCUUCAAUUUAAUUAAAUUAUAACUAAAUAAACUCAUUUACAAUUUAAUCCCAAACUAAUUAGGACUAAAAGAACAAUUAAUCCAAAAGCUAAUGGAUUCAAUCAUAACACUACCGCUUGGAAACUUUGACCAUGGUUUAAUUACCAUUUAAGUCCCUUUUAUUUUAUUCAAUUAACCAUUUAAUCACUCAAAUCAAAUAGUGAUUAAAUUUUACAUCUUUUACAAUUUAGUCCUUUUUAAUUAAUUAACUAUCGAAACGUUAAAAUUUUUCAACGAAACUUUAAUACCACCUUAAUUACACUUCGUAAACAUUUAUAAAAAUAUUUAUAGCUCAUUUUAUAAAAAUGAGGUCUCGAUAUCUCAUUUUCUAAAACCACUUGAUCUCAGGGUCAUACCACAUGAAUUAAUAAAUCGCUUAUAAAACAAAAAUUACUAUAUCAAAAACCUUUUCAAAGUCACAAUUAACUCAUAAAUAUUAAGUAUAAUAUUUACGAACUUACUUGUCAGAUUUGGUGGCCCAAAAACCAUUGUUUCCCACACCACUGAAAAACGGGUUGUUACACUUAGCCUUUAAUAUUGUUGUUGGGCUUUGAGGUAAUGUGAGCCCAUCAUACAUAUAGGUCUGAAAUUGUGCCUUGAGACUCGCAUCCCCCUUUCCUCAAGAAAAUUCAUCCCCAAAUCUUUAGCUACUGAGAAAGAAAAUGAAUUAAAAUAAAUAACAAUAAAAUGAAUAAAAUACUUACAUAAGCUUUCUUAUGCGCCAAAAGUAUCUCCAAGAUCAAAGAUAUGAUUUUGAUAUCCCAAAUUUAGCAUGGAUCAAGUAUCUCUCUUUCAAAAACAAACCAUCAGCACUGGACGAAAAAUAUUAGGCACAUGAGUGUUCAAGUAAAAAAUAACUUGUAACUUUCUUUGAAUAUGCAUGGUCAUCCAUAAGAAUUUCCAACAAUGAGUCAAUAAUUUCACAUAAUUAUAAAAAUCAAGUAGUUUAAUAUUAUUAUGUAAAAAUUCAUAUUUAGAGUUUAAGUUAGAAAAUUUUGUUACAAGAUCAAAUGCAUAAGGUUUUUUAAUAAACCUAUCGAGUGCAACAAAAAUAAACUUUAAAUACUUAGAUAAACCCAUAAAAUCAAUUGAACUUUCAGACCAUUGUUUUUUGAAACUCGACCAACGAGAAAGCAUGUCGUAAGGAAAAAUAAAAUUAGCAACAUACUUAUAAAAAACAUUCAAGGUAUGACUACAUAUUUCAAUUUCUGAUGUAUCAUUAUUUUUCUUACCUUGUAGCACCUGUGGAGAAUUAUCAAUGUUCAACUUACCUCUUACCCAUAAAUAAAACUGUCUAUCGAUGGUAGAGUAAUAUAAUUAAAAUUCUGUCAAGAUUUGUCCUCGAAUCUUGCUUUUGAUCAAAUCCUAAUUUGAUUUGCUUAACCUUUGACAUUGUUGUUAGGCCUUGAGGUAGUGUGAGCCCAUCACAUUCAUAGGUCUAAAAUUGUGCCUUGAGACUCGCAUCACUUUGAUCUUUAAAAACUAACAAUGAAUAUAUCAAGUUAAUCAUUUGCUACCAUGUGUCCCAAAAAUCUAAAAAAAUGUGAAAAUAAAUAAAAAAUAAAAUAAAAUAAAGAACACACGGAUUUUACGUGGAAACCCUUUUGGGAAAAAAAUCACGGGCAGAUGAGAAGAAAUUUCAUUAUGUCGAAUUCGAAUGAUUACAAGAGGAAUAGACUAUGUCUAUUUAUAGGCUUGUAAAGCCAUAUUCUAGUAAGACUGAAAGACCUUAUUCUAAUCAAUAUAAAAUAGAUGGAGUUUAAUAAGGCUUAAAAAACCUUAUUCUAAAAUAAAAUAAAAGAAGUGUAGUUCUAUAUGGAUUUUACUUUUAUUUUAUUUUACCGUUGUAUUUUAUUUAAAUAAGGAUUCGGGUCAUUUAAUUCUAACAAUCUCUACCUUGAUACGAAUUCUUAAUGAACAAGUUCUUCAUCAUGAACUCUCAACGAACAAGGUGGAGCAUAAAACCCCUUUAAGGGUUUAACUUCAACAAUGAACACCAACCAAGUCUAAGCAAUGCUCAAACUUGGUUAUAGGAAGUGGCUUAGUUAUCAUAUCAGCAGGAUUUUCAUGAGUACUAAUUUUGCUCACAACAAUAUCACCACGAGUAAUAAUAUCACGAACAAAAUGAUACCAAACAUCAAUAUGGUUUGUUCUUUCAUGAAACAUUUGAUCUUUUGUAAGAAAGAUUGCACUUUAACUGUCACAAAAUACUGUACUGAUUUGUAGGUCUUCAUUGAGUUCACUAAAGAGUCCCUUUAACCAAAUAACUUCUUUACAAGCCUCAGUAAUCGCCAUGUACUCAGUUUCAGUGGUAGACAAAGUGACUGUAGUUUGCAAAGUGGCUUUCCAACUGAUUGCACAACCUCCGAUUGUAAAGACAUAACCUGUGAGAGAUCUUCUUCUAUCAAGGUCUCCAGCAAAAUCAGCAUCAACAUACCCAAUGACUCAAUCUCUAGUUCUUCCAAACUGUAAGCGAACAUCAGUAGUUCCUUGUAAGUAUCUUAAAAUCCACUGAACUGCUUUCCAGUGUUCUUUACCGGGAUUCGCCAUGUAUCUGCUAACUGCACUGACUGCAUAUGAUAAAUUUGGACGUGGACAAACCAUAGCAUACAUGAGAGAUCCCACUGGACUAGAAUAUAGAACAUGCGACAUGUACUCAAUAUGAUCAUCUAAUUGUGGAGACAAAGCCGAUGAAAGUCUGAAAUGGGCUACUAAAGGAGUAAAACAGGCUUAGCACUCUGCAUAUUGAACCUGUAAAGAACUUUUUCAGUGUACCCCUUCUGACUUAGGUACAAUUUACUUGCUUUUCUAUCUCUGAGAAUCUCCAUUCCAAGCAUCUUCUUUGCUGGUCCUAAAUCUUUCAUCUCAAAUUUUCCACUUAGUUGGGCUUUGACAUUUCUUAUCUCUCCUUUAUCUUUUGCUACUAUCAACAUGUCAUAAACAUAAAAAAGUAGAUACACAAAAGAACCAUCACUAUUUUUCUUAAAGUAAACACAACUGUCAAAACUACAUCUUUUGAAAUCAUGAGAAGUCAUAAAAUAAUCAAACCUCUUGUACCACUGUCUUGGUGACUGUUUCAAACCAUAAGUGGACUUUUUCAGCAAGCAAACUCCUCUUUUUCUGAGACUGUAAAACCCUUUGGUUAUUGCAUGUAAAUAUCCUCCUCAAGUUCUCCUUGCAAAAAUACAGCUUUUACAUCUAAUUGCUCAAGCUCCGAAUCAUUCAUGGCCACAAUACCAAGCAAAGCUCGAAUCGAACUAUGCUUCACAACUACGAAGAACACAUCUGUGAAGUCUACUCUUGGAAUUUGACUGUAACCCUUUUCAACAAGCCUUGCUUUAUAUUUGGGUUCUUCAACUCCUAGAGUUGCUUCUUUCUUUUUAAACACCCAUUUACAACGAACAACCUUUUUACCUUUAGGAAGUUUCACAAGAUCCCAUGUUCUAUUUUUGUGGAGUGAUUCCAUCUCCUCUUGCAUAGCAAACAUCCACUUUUCUGAGUCUUCACAGCUAACUGCUUCAGAAUAAUUAGAUAAAUCUCGAUUUGCAUUUAUAUCUUCAGCCACAUUUAAAGCAUAAUCAACUAGAUCAGCCUCGUCAUACUUCUUUGGAGGUUUAAUUUCUCUUCUAGAUCUGUUUUUGGCAAUAGAGUAUUGUGGUGAAGAAGCAACCCUAUUCUCAAUUUUUUGUACUGGCUUGAGGAGUCGACUCUGUAUUAAUUAAUGCUCCACCUGCUUUUGAUUUUCUUUAUUGGAAGAGUCUGUAAGAGAUAAGUUAGGUAGUAUAGCAGUUUCAUAAAAAAUGACAUCUCUGCUAAUCACAACUUUUUUAUUUUUAGGACACCAUAACUUAUACCUUUUUACACCGGCUUUAUAACCAAGAAAAACACAUUUAAUGGAUCUCGGUUCCAAUUUUCCAUUAUCAACAUGAGCAUACAUAGGACACCCAAAGAUCUUUAAGUUAGAAUAAUUAGCAGGAUUACCAGACCAUGCCUCUUGUAGAGUCUUUUUCUCAAUGGCAAUGGAUGGAGAUCGGUUGAUAAAAAAACAUGCAGUAGAAGCUGCUUCUGCCCAAAACGACUUCGGUAAGUUGGCAUUUGACAACAUACAUCAAACCUUCUCCAUGAUCGUUCUGUUCAUUCGUUCUGCAAAGCCGUUUUUCUAUAGAGUAUGACGAACUAUCAAGCGUCUCACAAUCCCUUCUGACUUACAUAGUCUAUUAAACUCAUCAGAAUAAAACUCUAAGCCAUUGUUUGUGUGGAGAUAUUUUAUUUGUUUUUAUGUCUGUUUUUCAAUCAUAAUUUUCCAAGACUUAAAUGUGGAAAACACAUUGCUUUUCUGCUUCAGGAAGAAUGCCCAAACUUUUCUGGAAAAUUCAUCAAUAAAAGUUAGCAUAUAAUUAGCUCCACCUCUCGAAGGCACUCUGGAUGGCCCCCACAGAUCAGAAUGAAUAUACUACAAUGUUCCUUUUGUGUUAUGGAUUCCUCUAGUGAAUUGAACUCUCUUUUGCUUCCCAAAAACACAGUGCUCACAGAACUUCAGUUUGCAAAUUCCUUACCCAUCAAGAAGUCCUCUUUUGCUCAAUUCUGUCAUGCCAUUCUCACUCAUAUGCCCUAGGUGCAUAUGCCAAAGUUUAAUAAUAUCAUCAUCUGACAAGGAAGAGGAAGCGACAGCUACAUCACUAGUAAUAGUAGAACCCUGCAAAACAUAUAACUUGGUAGUCUUUCUCUGCCCUUUCAUCACAACAAGGGAACCUUUGGAAAUCUUUAAAACUCCACUGUUAACUAUGUAUCUGUACCCUUUUGAAUCAAAAGUACUCAACGAAAUUAAAUUUCUCUUCAAUUCAGGAACAUCUUGUACGUCAUUAAGUGUUCUAACAAUUCCAUCUAACAUCUUAACUUUAAUUGUUCCAACACCUGCGAUUUUACAUGAAGCCUUAUUUCCCAUCAAAACAACAUCUUCAGAUACUGUUUCAUAAGUUGUAAACCAAUCCCGAUUAGGACUCAUAUGGAAGGUGCAGCCUGAAUCAAGUAUCCGUUUCUUGCUCACUUUAGAAUUAUUGAUAGAAGCGGCUAGAAGUUCACCAUCGCUGUAGUCUUCUACAACAUCAGCUUCGCCGGAAUUUUCUAGUUGUUUUCCCUUUCGAUUUGCAGCCUCCCUUUUAAUCUUGUUCUGUAGCUUAUAGCACUCAGAUUUAAUGUACCCUUUCUUCUUGCUGAAGUUACAAGCUUUACCUCAGUUUGAAGACUUCUAUCUACCCUUAGAUUUAUCGUGAGGAUUUCGUUCCUGUGUCUUUCCAUGAUCAUCAUCAGUAUUCCGAUCUUAUCUCCCAUGAACAAUGAGGCCCUUUCCCUGAGAGUUGGGUUUAACCACAAGAUGCUUCAUCUUAUCAUGCAAGGUUAAAGAAUCAUAAACCUUAUCAACUGUGAGAGACUCGUGGCUAUAUAAAAUCGUGUCUCUAAAGGUUGAAUAGGACGGGGGCAACAAACAAAGUAGACUCAACCCUAGAUCUUCCUUAUCAUACUGAACCUCCAUGGCCUCCAAGUUUGAGAGAAUUUCUUUAAACAUUGUUAAGGGUUUGUGUACAGACCCACAUUCCUCCAAACAACGAGCAUAAAGACGAUGCUUCAUAUGCAACUUGCUUGUUAGAGUUUUCGACAUACAUAUUUGUUCCAGCCUCUUCCAUAAUACAGUGGCGGUCUUCUCCUUCAUCACAUCCUGUAAAAUUUUGUUGGACAAAUGCAGAUGUAAUUGUGUUAACGCCUUUCGAUCCUUACGCUUCUUCUCUUCAUCCGUUAAUGUCGAAGGCAUCUUAUCUAUCCAUAGCAGUGCAUUCUCCAGAUCCAUCUGCGCAAGAACUGCUUGCAUCUUAAUUUGCCACGACGCAAAUCUGGUGUUGCGAUCCUACGCUGAAAUUUCAUACUUAAAAGACGCCAUUACGUGAUCGAGAUAAACUACCUGGAAGCUCUGAUACCAAUUUGUGAAAAUAAAUAAAAAUAAAAAAUAAAAAAAUAAAGAACAGACAGAUUUUACGUGGAAACCCUUUCGGGAAAAAAACCACGGGCAGAGGAGAAGAAAAUUCACUAUGUCAAAUUCGAAUGAUUACAAGAGAAAUAGACUAUGUCUAUUUAUAGGCUUAUAAAGUCAUAUUCUACUAAGAUUGAAACACCUUAUUCUAAUCAAUAUAAAAUAGAUGGAGUUUAAUAAGAUUUAAAAAACCUUAUUCUAAAAUAAAAUAAAGGAAGUGUAGUUCUAUAUGGAUUUUACUUUUAUUUUAUUUUACCACAUUAUUUUAUUUAAAUAAGGAUUCAGGUCAUUUAAUUCUAACAAAAAAAUCUUUAGAAAAUGAGAGAAAUAAAGUAUAAAAAAUAAAAAAUUAUCAAAAGUAAAAAUUAUUAAAAUUAUAAAAAAUAUAUAAAAUAUUAAAGAACACUAAUUUUGUUUUAAAAUAAAAAGAAAUUAUCAAAUCACAUUUACUAGAACUUGAACAUGAGAUUAUUGUCGCUUGGAAAGAUAUCACGUAUGAUAAUUGUUUUAUAAUUCAAUAAAUCGAAAUAUAUAAUGAUUAGAUCUUUUUAGGUGAAAAGUUUACUUUUAAUGGCCUAAAAGUCAAUGGUGCCAAUAAAUGCGGGUUUCAGAGCUCAUUUUCGUAAACCAAACCUAUAAAUAUUAUUAUAUUAAUGGGUGAAUUGAAUUCAUGUAGGUAAUUUUUGCCGAAUUAGUAAGUAAUUAAGGUUCAAGGACUAAAUUGCAAAAGUGAUAAAAGUUCAAUCACUAUAGAUUUGUGGUUGGAAAAUGAAUUAAAGACUAAAAUGGAAAUUAUACCACCUUAGAAAUAAUAGUGGAUGGUUGGUAAAAAAAUUUAUAAAAACAAGUUAUAAAAUUUCUAAUUUAAUUAAUUAAAUUAUAAAACAUAAAAUAAAAUAAAUAAUAAAACAAAACUUAAUGGAAAGAAAAGGAAACAUUUUUACCUUCUUCUUCAUCUACCGAUUCUCCAUAGCUAGAAAGAAAACAUUCACCCUAUGUAACGCCCCAAAAAUUUAAAUUUUGUUUUUGCAAAUGUAUGACACAACUAUGUAUCUACUUCAGUGGUUAAGUGUUCUGAGGUGUGUGUGAGAGGCCUCAAGUUCAAGCCAUGACUUGAAUAAAGCCCUAUCUUUGGCUAGUAGGUUUUUAGCUAAAUAUUGGUAGGUUUAUAUCAGAAUGGGCAUGCUGGUCUGGUGUAUAAGUGGAGUGUUGGUGUGAAGGAGGUUUUGUGUUCGAGUCUAUGCAUGAGCAUUAUUUUUGCUAUUGGUGCCAUAUAGGAGUUUGAAGGGAAGUAAAAUAUUGUGGCGUUGAGUUUGAUGUGUAGUGAGAGUUGAGGGAGAAAAAUAAGGGAUUUUGGGUGAUCAGUUAUGGUUAGAUCAUUCUUUCGUUUUUAUAAAACUCUACCUCUUUUUCCUCUUCCAAAUUUCUGAUGCCGAAUUUCUCAUUCCCCUUAUUCUCUUUUUGUUCUAGUUUGUCUUUUUCUCUUCUGCAUUGAAAUCCUGCAGCAUUUUUACCUCCCAAUUCUAGUUUUCAAGUUCUUUAAUUUUCCUUCCACUACGAGUUGGUGAGUUUCAGUAAGUGUAGUAAUUGAAGCUAUUUUGAUAUAGGGUAUUGAUUGAUGGGUCUCGUUUUGAUUUUGGAAAAAAGGUUAAAGGGCUGAAGCUUUCGAUCAGCGUUGAAGCGUUGUAGAAACGUUGUUACUCGAUUGAAAGGUAAGGUUUUUGAAGGUGUUGGGUUAAGCAUCUCAAUAAGUUUCAUUUAAGUUUCAUUUUAACACUGAUUUUGGGCAUUAGAAUAUCGAUUUAUAGGUUCUGGAAUGAUGGGGGUUACUUUAUGUUCAAAACAAUACUAAGUGUAUACUCGAUUGCAUAGAAAACGAGGUUUCAACGAAAGCCAAAAAUCUCACUGUCGACGCCACACUGGCGUGUGGUCACCCGUGUGGUAGGCUAUGUGAUAGAACACCGGCGUGUGAUCGACAAGGCCAGGUCGUGCGUGUAAACACAGUCCUGUGAUGGUCAGGUAGGUCGUGUGCGACACAUGGGAUAGACUAAUUUGGGCUGUGUGGGCCACACUGGUAAACCACACGGGCAUGUGAGAUUCUGCACCAAGCUGUGUGAUCUACACGGCCAAGGCAAAUUUGGACCGUGUGGGCCAUACGGGCAAGCCACAUGGGCGUGUGAGUCCAUUUAUCUGAAAUGAUUCCUAGGGUUACACAGGUCGCACAAGUCGACUGUGAACCUACUGUAGGUCGGUAAGCGUUACCUAGACCCCUAAAUGUAUGAUCUAAGUGUAUGUGAUGCAUGGUAAAUUAUACAUGAUUGCUGAUAUAUGUAUGUUUACGUAUGACUGAUGGUUGCAUAAAAGCAUGACAUAUUGUAUGUUUGCAUUGCAUUGGGUUGGGGUGAUGAUUUUUGGAAGAAGUGUACUACAAGGCUUUAAGCCUAAUAUCUAACAGCUCAGCUGCAAAUUACUGUUAUGUACCGCAUUCAGUACUAUUUGGAGUGUAAGGAUGGGUGGGUGUAUUUAAUCCCUACAUGUAGGGUUGGACGGAGAUAGUGUGUAGAGGCUGGUUGGGUAGGAAUUUGCUACUGAAUAUUUGUGACUGAUACUAAUACUGUGAUGUGCUAAGGCUCUACUGCAUACUUAAUACUGUAUUGAGAUGGGCGAAGGCCCAAACUGAUACUGAUACUAAAUAGGGCUUAGGCCCAAGAACUGUGUUGGCUGUGCACUAUACAUUACUAGUGUUUGUUACGGAGGGCUUACACACUGAGUUUAUGUAAACUCACUCUUUUGUUUAAUGUUCACAGGUAAUCCCCAAACCUAGAUAGAUCGAUACGACGGAGAACUCGAUAGUGACCACGAUUCUGGACUGUCAUGGUUUUAAUUUAUGAUUAUUGGUUUAAUUCUAUUUUUACUGGUUAAAUUUUUGGGUUGUAAUUGGACAUUCGGACUUUGGUUUGGUUUGGGUUUUAAAUAUCUUUACUUUAUAGAUGACAACUGCUAGUAGAAGAAAACCUCGAUUUUCAAAAGCAACAAAUGAUUUUCAAAAACAUACGAUUGUUUUAACUGUUUAAAAAGCUUCCGCAUCGAAUAAACAUUUUAAAACUAUCGACUAAACAAGUAACACAAUUUUGGAACUAAUUAGAUAUUAAGAUAAGUAAUUCAAAGGAAAUGGUUUUAUCGCGACGACACGAUUUUCUAACACCCUAUCAUGUAACAUCGCGAGAUCUGGCCAUAGCGUCUAGGCCAAGUUAGGGGUGUUGCAUUUAGUGAUAUCAGAGCCAAGUUUCAAAACUCGACUGUGGAUUAUUGGUUUUAAAAUUUGGUUUUGGAGAAUUGAUUACAAAGUUAUUUAAAAUAUUUUAUUGAGUAAGUGGUACACCGAGUCUACGGCGCCGAUCCUGUAAGUAUUCUGAAUUGUGAAUUGUUUUAAAUUGAAACUGUUAUUGAUAUUAUUCUAAAACUACUAUAGGUAGUAUACUGUACUGAAAACACUUUAGUUAGUGUAUACUGAAAAUUGUAGUGAAAUUACAAUAUACGAAAACAAUAUCUGAAUUAUCGAUAAUGUUCUACAUAAAACAUCUGUUAAUAAAUAUUAAACUAUAACUGAUUCAUAAAAUUUCUAAAGACAGAUAAUUUGAUUAGAUAUGAGCACAUGAGGUAUCGCGGAUGGGGUAUUAGAGAUCGUGGUAGAGGCUGUAGAGGGGCUCAAGCUUGGUCCUCAUUUUCUGGCAACCUGCCUAACUGGGAUACUAGUGAGACGCCAGUUUCACCUGCGACUGAGACUGGGUCUCAAGACCUCAUAGCUGGGUACGACGUACUAUCCCAGGCUAUGCUAAGGAUACUGGAGAGGGUCGCUGGGCCCAGUACCGGAUUUAGGGGCUGAGGGACAGUUACGGAACGACUCGAUCCAAUGGGGCUGAGUUAUUCAAUGGUGUCACUAGAGUUGCCCCUAAUGUGGCCAAGUACUGGAUUGAGGCCACGAAGAGGAUCUUAAACGAACUAGAUUGCACCCUAGAGCAAAAAUUAAAGGGUGCAGUCUCGCUGCUGUGUGGUGAGGCAUACCAGUGGUGACUUACAGUUAAGGAGGGCACUCAGCCCAAAGAGUUGACUUAGGAGUUCUUUAAGACCGCCUUCUAGGGGAAAUAUGUGGGAGCCAGUUACAUGGAUGCCUGAAGGAGGGAGUUUCUAAAUUUAACCUAGGGAGAUCGAUCAACGGCUGAAUAUGAGGCCGAGUUCUUGAGACUGAGCCGCUAUGCGUGAGGUAUGGUGGUGUCUGAGUACGAGUGAUGGGUUUGUUUUGAGGAUGGCCUUAGAGAUAACUUGUGGGUUUUGAUAGCUUCACAGAGGGAGUGAGAUUUUUCUUCCCUAGUUGAGAAGACGAAGAUCACCAAUGAGGUCAAGUGCUUGAGCGCCAAAAUUGGGAUAGAGAGAGAUGUUGGAAUAAGAGGGAUUUGAAGCCCUCAGGUGUGGUGCAGAAGCCUAGAAAAAGGGUCAGAGUUGAUGGGCCAAUUAGAGUUGGGCCCCCUGUUACUGCUACUGGACUGCAGCCAUGUACUAGUUGUGGUAGACGCCACCAGGGCGAGUGUUGGAAGAGAAUAGGGGCAUGCUUGAGAUGUGGGUCGUUGGAACAUCGAAUUAGAGAGUGUCCGCUGAGGGCUGAUCAGAGGCAAGCUCUAGGUACUGGUAAUGUAUAGCCACCGAGAGGCCGUGGUCAGGCCAAAGGUGGUAAUGAUAUGGGCUGUAGGCAGAGAGCACCGGAUAGAUAUGCCGAAAACACUGAGGCGAGAUGGUCGGCUCUAGUAUAAGCUGCUCGUCGCCGAGAGGAUGGAGAUUCUCUGAACGUCAUCAUGGGUACGUUUCUUAUUUUUGAUAUACCAUAUACUAUAUCGAUAGAUAUAGGAUCUGUUCACUCUUAUAUAGCCUGUACUGUGUUUGGAAAUUUAGGGAUCUUAGUUGAGAGUACUACGAGUGAGGUUAUUGUACUAAGUCCGUUGGGGCAAUCUAUAAGAGUUAACAAGCUAUUUAGAGAAGUUCCUUUAGAAGUUCAAGGGCAAAUCUUUUCGGCUGAUCUAAUGGAGCUUCUUUUUGGGGAGUUCAAUUUAAUUCUGGGGAUAGACUAGUUGGUCAAGCAUCGUGUUAGCUUGGACUACGGGACUAAGAGGGUCAUAUUGAGGACUGAAGAGGAUGAGAGGUAGUCAAAAUUAGAGAGCACCAGAAUUAUUUAACUAAUGUGAUUUCUACACUGGUGGCGAAAAAGUUGGUACGUAAGGGAUGUGAGGCAUUUUUAGCUUACGUAAGUGUUUUAGAUUCUGAGGAUUCCUCUGUUAAGGAGAUCAGAACGGUAAAGGAUUUUUCAAACAUCUUUCUUAAGAAGCUACCUGGUCUACCUCUAGAUCGUGAAGUGGAGUUUGGUAUUGAGCUCUUAACUGGAACAGCUCCGGUGUCCGUCGCUCCCUAUCGAAUAGCACCGAAGGAGCUUGUGGAGCUAAAGGCUCAGAGUUAGGAGUUACUGGAUCAUGGGUUCAUCUGCCCUAGUGUGUUUUCGUAGGGAGCACCGGUACUGUUUGUGAAGAAUAAGAAUAGAUCCAUAUGGAUGUGUAUUGAUUACUGCCAGCUGAAAAAGUUGACCAUUAAGAACAAGUACCCCCUGCAGAGGAUAGAUGAUCUGUUCGACCAGUUUCGAGGAGCUUCGGUGUUCUCUAAGAUUGACCUCCGAUUUGGGUAUCAUCAGUUGAAGGUCAAGGAGGCUAACAUACAUAAGACGAUGUUUAGGACUCGUUAUGAUCACUACAAGUUCCUAGUAAUGCCAUUUGGACUGACUAAUGCACCGAAAACUUUCAUGGAUUUGAUGAGCCGAGAUUUCAGCCUUAUCUGGAUCGAUUUGUGGUGGUGUUCAUUGAUGAUAUACUGGUUUACUCAAGAACUGAGGAUGAGCAUGACGAACACCUUAGGGUUGUUCUGCAGACUUUGAGGGAGAAACAGCUCUAUGCUAAGUUUAGCAAGUGCGAGUUCUAGCUCUAUGAGGUGACAUUUCUAGGUCAUGUGGUUUUUACUGGGGGGAUUCGAGUGGAUCCUUGAAAGAUUGAGGUUGUAUUGGAGUAGAAGCAACCUAGGAACGUGUCUGAAAUUUACAGUUUUCUGGGACUGGUGGGUUGUUAUCGGAGAUUUGUAGAGGGCUACUCAUUGAUUGUAGCACCCUUGACUAAGCUUCAACGUAAGGGUGUGCCGUUUAACUAAAUUGAUGUGCAGCAAGAGAGCUUUGAGAAGCUCAAGACUGUAUUGACUGAGGCCCCUAUUUUGAUACAGCCAGAGUUUGGAAAAGAGUUUACCGUUUAUAGUGAUGCGUCACACUUCGGCUUGGGAUGUGUGUUGAUGCAAGAUGGUAAGGUGUUCUCGUCAGCUUAAGGCUAAUGAGGCAAAUUAUCCGAUGCAUGACUUAGAGUUGGCUGCGGUAGUUUUCGUAUUGAAAAUCUAGAGGCAUUAUUUGUAUGGUGAGAAGUGUAUCAUCUACACAGAUGAAAAGAGCCUUAAAUAUCUCAUUACUCAAAAGGAGCUGAAUCUUAGGCAGCAUAGAUGGAUUGAGCAGCUCAAGGAUUAUGACUGCACCCCUAGCAAGGCCAAUGUGGUGGUCGAUGCACUAAGCCGUAGAGCUAUGACCGAUUUAAGGGUGAUGUUUGCUCGCCUCAGUUUAUUUGAUGAUUGUAGUCUGUUGGCUGAGCUUCAGGUUAAACCGACUUGGAUAGAUUAGAUUAAGGGUAAACAGUUGCAGGACGGGUCUUUUGGUCCUCGAUUCCGACAGAUUGAGAAUUGUAGCACUACAGAUUUUAUGUUGAACUCUGAGGGUGUGUUAUGUUUCCAUGGGCGGAUUUGUGUACCUAAUGACACCGAUUUGAGGCAGUCCAUAUUGAGGGAGGCGCAUAGUAGCCCUUAUGCUAUGCAUCCUGGUGGGACUAAGAUAUAUCGAGACCUCUGUGAGUUGUAUCAGUUACCUUCAAGUUUGCUACAGCCGGUUAAGAUUCCUCUUUGGAAGUGAGAGCGUGUAACUAUAGACUUCGUAAGCGGGUUGCCCCUAACACCCACCAAAAAGGAUUCAGUACGGGUCAUCGUAGAUCGAUUGACCAAGUCCGCCCACUUCAUAUCGGUUUGUACUGACUAUUAUCUAUAGAAGCUGGAAAAGUUUUAUAUCUCUGAGAUAGUGAGACUGUAUGGGGUACCGGUUUCGAUCAUCUCUGAUAGGGAUCCUUGUUUCAUAUCUCGAUUUUGGAGAAACUUGCAUGAAGCUCUAGGUCUUGUGUUCGAGUUUGUGCAUGAGCAUUAUUUUUGCUAUUGGCGUCGUGUAGGAGUUUGAGGGAAAGUAAAAUACUGUAGUGUUGAGUUUGAUGUGUAGUGGAAGUUGAGGGAGAAAAAUAAGGGAUUUUAGGGGGAUCAGUUAUGAUUAGAUCAUUCUGUCGUUUUUUCUAAAAUUUUGCCUCCUCUUCCUCUUCCAAAAUUCUGAAGUCAAAUUUCCCAUUCCCCCUCUUCUCUUUUUGUUCUCGUUUGUCUUUUGUUCUUCUGCAUCGAAAUCCUGCGGCAAUUUUACCUUUCAAUUCUAGUUUUCUAAUUAUUCUAUUUUCCUUCCUCUACGAGUUGGUGAGUUUCAGUAAGUGUAGUAAUUGAAGCUAUUUUGAUUUAGGGUAUUGAUUGAUGGGUCUUGUUUUGAUUUUGGAAAAGUUUAAAGGGCUGGAGCUUUUGAUCAGCGUUUAAGUGGUGUUGAAACGUUGUUACUCGAUUGAAAGGUAAGGUUUUUGAAGGCAUUGGGUUUAACAUCUCAAUAAGUUUCAUUUUAACACUGAUUCUGGGUAUUGGAAUAUCAAUUUAUAAGUUCUGGAGUGAUCGGGGUUGCUUUAACUUCGAAUCAAUACUAGGUGUGUACUCGAUUGCACAGAAAACGAGGUUUUGGAGAAAGUUAAAAACUUCACUGUCGACACCACAUAGUCAUGUGAUUGCCCGUGUGGUAGGCCGUGUGACAGAACACAGGCAUGUGAUCGACGAGGCUAGGCUGUGCGCGCAAGACACGACCGUGUGAUGGCCAGGUAGGCCGUAUGCGACACGGCGGCUAGACUGAUUUGGGCCGUGUGGGCUACACGGGUGUUUGGGCCCACACUGGUAAGCCAUACGGACGUGUGGGAUUUUGGGCGGCAAAUUUGGACUGUAUGGGCCACACGGGCAAGCCACAUGGGUGUGUGAGCCCAUUUAUUUGAAAUGAUUCCUAGGGUUUCACAAGUCACCCAAGUCGACUGUGACCCAACUGUGGGUCAGUAAGCGUUAUUUAGAUCCCUAAGGGUACGUUUGGUUGGCUAUAAUGAAAUAAGGCUGUAAUUGAUUAGAGCUGUAAUCAGUAAUUCAACUGUUUGGUUGAAUGGAAUAGAAUAGAACUGUAAUAGUAUUCUUGUGUUUGGUUGAAUGGAAUGAUGUUGUAAUAGCAUAAGGAAAAAACUAAAAUGACCAGAAUACCCUUAACAGAAUUUUUUUAGGUAGAUGAUUAUUGUUAUUCUUAUUAAAUUUUAAUAAGAUUAUUAUUAAAAAUAAUUUAAUAAAUAUAAUAAAUAAUUUAACCAUAUUUAAACAUAAUUAUUAUUAAUUAUAAUGUAAUAAAAUGAUAUAUAAUUUAAUAAAAUUCUUAAUGUAAUUAUGAUAUGAAUUAAAAAACCAUAAUAUAUAAUACUAUAAAAAUAAUAUGUAAUCUACUUCAUUAUAUUUAAACUGCAAUACAUAUUUAAUGUGCUAAAAUAUCAUUAGUGAAACAAAUAAUUUAAAUAUUCUACAAUAAAAAAAUAAAAUAUUAGAAGUAAUAAAUAACUUGAGAAUUAUAUUUCACAUCCAAACAUAAUAUUCAUAUAUUAACAAAAAGUUACAUGAUUUCAUUAGUUUAUAUGUCAUAAUCCAUAUGUUAUAAAAUUUUACAACCUCAAAAAGUUACAACAUUAUAAUGACAUUCUAUCAUGUCAUUAUACCAUCCAAAUAUUACAAACACAAAAAGUUACCAAAAUAUCAUCAACACAACCAUGAUUUUUAAUGGUUAGCAAGAAAUCUUCUCACCCAUUCCAAGUGCACAGCAGAAGGUAAACUAAAAAAAAUGAGCAUUUGCGUUAGAUGAUCUGGAAUUUCACUCAAUGCAUGAUAGCGCUCAUCUUCAGUUAAACCUUCUACUUUAUAUAAUGUUGGAUAUAAUUUCAAAGCACUUUUUUGAAUGGUAAUUUUUGACUUUUGUUGAAUUAGCACUUCGGAGGCAAUACUCUUACUGAUUUCAAGCCAACGAUCUGUAUCUUUUCCGCCAAUAAAAUGGCAGCAUCAUUAAAUGAAGUAGAAAAAUCACUUGCAUCAGAAUUCUUUUUUUCUUCUUUGAUAAUGUGGAAUCACCUUGGUUUCUAGCUGGUUGAGGUUGU
rnacentral:lncRNA from 1 species